GAAAACAAGUUUUCACAAGAAAGAACAAGCCAUGCUAACGAAUAAGCAAGUAGCAGGUGCAUUGCGCCAAAAUAGUUUAGGUGUAUACACUGUGCGAUGUGCGGAAACGUCUUAACCUCGGUGCGAGGGGACGUGCUGCAUGUUAUAGGCAGGGGCGCAAUAACCCUGAGGCGCAUACAGUUGAGAUCUUUACAGAAGACUUGGAGAGGAAGAGAUAGAAUAGGUUACAAGAGAUAAACAUAAACCAACUACCUAACUAUCUCUACCAAUAUUCUUGGACUCCUGAUGCGGCUCAAUGAGAUGGUGCGGCUUAGCCAAGGCAACGUGACAAGAUGUUGUUUAACACCCUCCCGUAAUCACAACUUCAGCAAGUUGAGAUUAUGCUUGAAGUCUUCAAAGCUUUUUGUAGGCAAUGGUUUUGUGAAUCCAUCCGCAAUUUGAUCUAUGGAAUGCACAAACCGAAUGUCAAGUUGCUUCUUGGCAACUCUUUCUCACACAAAGUGGAAAUCUAUCUCAAUGUGCUUUGUUCUGACAUGAAAAACUGGAUUAGCAGACAAGUAUGUUGCACCUAGAUUAUCACACCAUAAACAUGGAGCUUGAGUACCCUUAAUACCAAGUUCCCUCAUAAUGGAUUGUAACCAAAUAAUUUCUAUUGUGGCAUUUGCUAAUGCCUUAUACUCUGCCUUUGUACUAGACCCGGAGACAGUAGCUUGCUUUCUUGCACACCAUGAUAUCAAGUUAGGACCAAAAAAUACUGCAAAUCCACCAGUAGAUCUUCUAUCAUCCAAACAUCCUGCCCAAUCAGAGUCUGAGAAGGCACUUAUAAGUGUACAUGAUGACUUGCAAAAAUUCAGACCAAUAUUAAGAGUGUUCUUGACAUAUCUAACAAUGCGUUUGGCAGCUGUCCAAUGAAUUGUAGUGGGUGCAUGAAGAAAUUGGCAAACUUUGUUAACAUCAAAUGAAAUAUCAGGCCUGGUAAGUGUCAAGUAUUGAAGAGCACCUACUAGACUUCGAUACUUUGUGCUAUCAUCUUGACUCAAAGGGUGACCCUUAGUAAGAAACAAUUUUUCUGAACUUGACAAAGGAGUAGGUGAGGGUUUACAACCUUGUCGACCAGCCUUUUUUACCAGAUCUACUGCAUAUUUCUCCUGGGAUAGAUGAAGUCCAUCCUCAUGCUUCUUCACAUCAACCCCUAGGAAAUAAUGUAAGUCUCCAAGAUCCUUGAGAGCAAACUCUGUACUAAGAUCCUUCAAAAGUCCUGUAAUAGCCUCAUCUGAUGAACUGGUGACAAUUAUAUCAUCAACAUAUAUGAGUACAAAUAUGUGUGCAUUGUACUUAUUGUAAAUGAACAAUGAGGUGUCAGACUUAGAAGGAACAAAACCAAGCAUUUGCGUUUUUUGACUCAGACAUGAGUACCACGCCCUUGGAGCUUGCUUCAACCCAUAUAAUGACUUAUCGAGUUUGCACACAUAAGAAGGUGCAUUUUUACUCACACACCCAGGAGGUUGCUUCAUGUACACAUCCUCUUCCAGAACACCAUGGAGAAACGCGUUCUAAACAUCUAGUUAUCUGAGACUCCAGCCCCUGGACAUAGGAAUAGAUAAAACGAGACAGAUAGUGGCAGCCUUUACAACAGGACUAAAUUUGUCCUCAUAGUCUAUGCCAUACCGUUGUUUAAAACCUUUGGCAACUAGUCUGGCCUUUAAUGAUCAAUGGUUCCAUCAAACUUUCUUUUAAUCCUGAAUACCCACUUGCAAUCAAUAAGAUUUUUACCUUGCUGUGGAGGAACCAGAUGCCAGGUUUUAUUUUUCUGUAGUGCCUUGAAUUCCUCAUUCAUGGCCCUUUUCCAUUUUUCAUCACUGAGUGCUUCUUCAAGCGUAUAUGGUUCACCUGGUUCACCUGUAGAGAACACCAUUCCAUACUUAGUUACACAUUUAUAAUCAACAGGCUGUAUUACCCCUUUUUGUAGUCGUGUACGGCAUGGAGAUGAUGCAGCAUCUGUUUGUGACAUAGAAUAUCCCGCAAUAGAAUCUGGACCAGCAGCAGCAGCAUCGGUGUGCGCCGGAUCUUCCAUGGCGGUUGGUGAAUCAGUGGAUGUUGCAGCAGGCGCAGAAGAUCCCGUCCCGCGGGCCUCAUCAUUAGUGCAUGAUGGAGCGGGCCGGCCAUCAACAUGGGAUCCCACGCCUGACGGACCAGCAGCGGUCAGGUGGCGCAAGUCUCGUCUCUUGUAGUAGACCGGCUGGACCGGAAAACGAGUUGAGGGCCCGCCGACAGCUGCCCACCAAGUGUCAGCGCCUGAUUGGCGCGGAGCAGGGGGAGCGCGCUCUCUAGUAGCAUCGCGCCGCGUGGCUGGCAUGGAGACGACGCGCGGUGGGUCGCGCCCGACCGCGCCUGGCGAGGCUGUUGGCGCAGAAUCGAAGGCGGAUUCUCCUGACGGAUCUGGCACUGCUGGUCGCCCGGAUCCCGACGGAGAUGCGGCUGGCGCAUCUGACCGCGCGGAUCCCGAGAGGGAUUUGUUCCCUGCACCAGAGCACAUGAAAUAUGGCUCUGUAGGGCGCGUUUCUUCGUCAUUUUUGCUUCCGUUUUUUUUCUGUAUAAUCUCCUGCAUCAUCACAAGGCUCACACAAGGCAUCAAUAGGGUCAGUCAAUAUUUGAUCAUUGCAGUUAUUGCCCCCGUGAUCAAAACUAGUGAGAUGAGAGGGAAGAAGGAGAAUUUCCUUGCGAAGGAGUGCACCGGCAUUAGGGUGAAGGUCGGAGAAAGGAAAUUUUGUCUCGUCGAACACAACGUCACGAGAAAUAGAAACACGACUGAUGGAUACAUCGAGACACUUUACACCCUUGUGUUGAGCGCUAUACCCAAGAAAGACGCACUGUUUGGAGCGAAACAUGAGCUAGCGAUUGUUGUAGGGGCGAAGAUUGGGCCAACAGGCGCAACCAAAAACACGAAGAGACUUAUAGUCUGGUUUGGUGUGAAGAAGUCUUUCAAUGGGAGUUUCAUUAUUGAUGACGCGACUAGGAAGCAUGUUGAUGAUGUGGACAGCGGUAAGAAACGCUUCAUCCCAAAACUUAAGAGGCAUAGAAGCACCAGCAAGGAGAGCUAAACCAACUUCAACAAUGUGUCUAUGCUUGCGUUCAGUGGAGCCGUUUUGUUGGUGAGCAUGUGGGCAAGACACAUGAUGAGAGAUGCCCAAAGUUUGGAAAAAGGAAUUGAGUUUUUAGUAUUCCCCUCCCCAAUUAGAUUGGAUAGCAAUGAUCUUGCUGUCAAACUUUCUUUCAACGAGUGCUUGAAAGUUUUUAAACACUUGAAAAACCUCGGAUCGUUUCUUGAGAAGAUAGAUCCACGAGAAUUUGCUAUAGUCAUCAAUGAAGCUUCUGUAAUAGGUGUGUCUACCAACCGAACUAGGGGCAGGACCCCAAACAUCCAAAAAUAUUAAUUGUAAAGGUUGAGUAGAAACACUAGUAGAAAUAGGAUAGGGCAAUUGAUGACUUUUUGCUCUUUGGCAGGAAUCACAAAUGGUUUCAACAUGACGCUUACCAACAAACGGGAGCUUAUUCUUUCUAAGCAAAUGUUCUACUAAGGAAAAAGAAGCAUGUCCUAGACGAUCAUGCCAUCGUGUGGAGGAAAGCUUGACAGCACCAUGGGCUUGUUUAUUGAAUCUUCGGAGCUCCGGAAGCAAUGGGUAGAGCCCUCGAACACAUCUACCUCGAUAUAGGAUUUUCCUCGUGGCCUGAUCCUUAAUCAAGAAGAAAAAGUAUGAAACUCAAUGAAGACAUGAUUGUCAAGCGCAAUUCGAUGAACAGAAAGGAGUUUUUUGUUGGCACUAGGAACAUGCAAGAUUUUCCUAAGGUGGAUUUUACAAUGAGGGGUAUGAAUAACUGAAUGACCAAUAUGACGGAUCCUCAUACCUUCCCCACUUGCGGUGUGGAUUUGGUCCUUGCUGGGGUACUUCUCAUAGAGGGUUACUUUCUCAAGUUCACCUGUGAGAUGGUUGGUUGCACCGCUGUCAAGGUACCAGUUCGUGUCGACGCAGUAGGCACCAUCAGCAGCGGCAGCAACCUUUUCCUCAUCUUCGGACGAAGCCUCAUCUUCUUCAAAGCGGUACCAGCAGUCUUUGGCCGAGUGCCCAAGUUUACCACAGAUCUGGCAACGCACGACAUCCGGGCGAGACUUGUUGUUCCCACCGCGGCGACCCCUAGUGUUGUUUUUUUGAGCAAACACAGUAGGGUAAAAACCCUACUGUAACUCUAUUUUCAUUUAUAUUGGGGGGAAGUUAUGUACAUAUGGGUUACAAUAGAGGACAGCAUAAACUGAAAAUUACAAAUAAUCCAACCAGCUUUGCAAUCCCUCCUUUAAACUAGGUCUGACUCUUUUGAUGAUGGAGCCAAAAUGGUCCUUGAAGCAGGAGAUACAAUAGCUUAAAUCCCUUCUUUUGUUGUCAAAGAUGAUGCCAUUUCUAUGUUUCCAGAUGGUCCAACAACCAGCAAUUAGGCAUUCUUUAAAGGGCUGAAUCCGAGUUCUGUUUCUUACCUCAAUAAGCAUCUCAUUGCAGCUCAGAUCAGUGUUCCAUUGAAAACCAAUUGAUAAUCAAAAAAUUUGACUGAAGUCACAUGAAAAGAAAAGAUGUUUCAUGUACUCAUUAGGCUCAUCAUCACAUAAUACACAGACAGAGCUUUCAAUGUAAAAACUUUUUCUGGUGAGAAGAUCUCUGGUGUUUAAUCUGUCCAAAAGAAGAAGCCAGAAAAAGAAUUUUUGCUUAGGUAGGCAACCAGACUUCCAAAUCCAUUGGAAGGGCUUGGGAGCUUUCUCUGGGCAUCCCAAGUACUCAAGGUAGACUUUCUUAGCAUUAUAGUGUCCAGAAGCCCAUUUAAACUUCCAUGUGUCAGGAUCUCUGUUACUCAUCAUACCAUUAAUGAGGGCUAUUAGCUCAGUGCUUUGUUGGACAGCCACUGAAGACAUAGGCAGAUGGAACAUGCUAUAGAAAUCAUUCUCAUUUUCAGUGCAAGCCUUCUGGAGAGAGAUGUCUUUGUUUAUGGCAUAGGAAUAUAGGUGUGGAAAACUGUCUUUCAUUGGAUUAUCAUUCCAUUUGUCAUGCCAUAAAGAAAUGGUGUCACCAAUACCAGCAGAACAGGUUGUGAGGCUCUUGUAUUUGUCAAGAAUAGAGCAACAGUCUCUCCACCAGAAAGAUCCUAUCCUAGUUGGGAAUUGAGGUAAGUCUCCAUUUCCAUAGUAUUUGCUCCAAAUUAGUUGCACCCAUGGGAUAUCCUGUUUAUUGAAAAACUUGUGCAAAAAUUUGGUUAGCAAAGCUUUGUUGUGUGCUCUAAGAUCUAGAACACCAAGGCCACAAGCAUCCUUGGGUAACAAACUUGCUCCCACUUAACAAGGCAUUUGCUAAAUUUAUUGAUGUCCUUACCAUACCAGAGAAAACUUCUGCCAGAUUUUUCAAAAUGAUCCAGGAUAGUGAAAGGAACUCUGAUACAGCACAUAGCAAAUAUAGGUAGAGCUAUGACAAUGGCUUUUAGAUGGGUGAGCCUACCUGAAUAUGACAUCAUUGUAGCAAUUCCAGAUAGCCUUCUAUCAAGUCUUGGAACCAUUGGCAUGAAUUCCUCUACUUUUGGUCUGGUGGACCCCAUUGGCAAGCCCAGGUAGGUGAAUGGCAUGCUUUCUUUUUUACAGCCCAAAAUAUUAGCAAGCUAAGUGGCUUUUUCAUUAGUUAUGUUAAUGGGCACAAGGGAGGAUUUGUGGAAAUUCACCUGAAGCCCAGUGAAAUCAGAGAAGAUCUUAAGAGUUUCCAUGACAUGUGAGAUCUGAUGAUGCUCAGCUGGCAUAAUAAUUAAGGUGUCAUCAGCAUAUUGAACAAUAGGAUAUGACAUGGAAGCAGGUUGCUCAAUGGGAGUAUUGAUGUGGCCAUUGUGCGAGGCUUGGUUAAUCAGGAUCUGAAGUAGUUCAGCAGCAAUAACAAAUAAAAGAGGGGAGAGAGGGUCCCCUUGUAUUACUCCACAUUUACAAUUGAUUUUUUUCCAGGAACACCAUUUAAAAUUACAGAAGCAGAGGCAGUCUGUAAAAUGUUAUUGAUCCAUCUAAUCCAUUUCUCUCCAAAUCCCAAGUGCUUGAGCAUGAAAAGAAUGGACCCAUAGUUUAUUUUGUCAAAUGCUUUCUCAAAGUCUACUUUAAAAAUGACAAUUUCUUUCUUAGAUUUAUGGCACAUAUGUAUGUACUCAAAAGUCCAAGCAAGGCAAUCCUGAAUAUUUCUAGUUUUGAUGAAGCCAUAUUGGUUCUUGCUUAACACAGGAAUGAUGCAUUUUUGGACUUUGUUUGCAAGAAGUUUAGUAAGAAUUUUUAUAGGCAUACUUACCAAGGAGAUGGGCCUGAAAUCAUUGGGAGUUUCAGGAUUUUCUUUCUUAGGGAUCAGGGCAAUAUAGGUAGUAUUAAUUGGAGCAAGAUCCACACUCUCUGAUUGGAAAUCCUGAAGGAAUUUAUAGAUGUUAUCUUUAAUGAUAUGCCAGCAUUUCUUCAUGAAAAUGCCAUUAAAACCAUUAGGUCCAGGGGACUUAUCAUUAGGCAUAGAACUAAUGAUAUCAUCCACUUCUUUCAUACAGAAGGGUUGUUCCAACUCCUCUUGAUUAAUUCAUCUAGAAAGGUGACCAAUGUUGAAAUUUAUCUGGGAAGAGCCAGCAGUGCCAAUCCUGUUUUUGAAGGAAUUCCACAAGAUAGCUGCUUUCUGUUCAUGAUCAUUAACAAUCAGGUUAUCAGAGUUAAUUAGGAAAGUAAUAUAAUUACUUCUGAAAACCUGUGUGACUAUAGCAUGGAAAAAUUUGGUGUUUUCAUCACCUAGCUGAGCCCAUCUAAUGUUGGCUCUGAUUCUCCAAUACUUCAUUUUUGGCCUCAAGAAGUUUAUUGGUGUGCCUGAUCAAUAACUUCCUGAAGUUCUUUUCAUGCUGAGAGAGGUCUCUUUGAUCUUCAAUACCAUCAAGGAGCUUAACAUAAAAGCAGCAGUUUUCAAUGGUUUUAUUGAGUUGUGAAAGUUGCUUGCUCCAAAUUUUUAGACCUUUUCUAAUGGAUUUAAACCUAGCCACCAAGUUUCUAACUGAGUCAGCAUAGAAAGUACAGUUAUUCCAACAAUUAGAGACAGUGUCAAUAAAACCUUCAAAAUCCAACCAAAACUCCUCAAACCUGAAAAUAUGGCAUUUGGGGAUCCUGCUGUCAAUCUGAAUAUUUAUAGGGACAUGAUCAGAGGAGAGCUUGGCCAUGGGGGUUGCAAGUGUGUUUGGGAAUUUGCUGGUCCAAUCAGCACUUGUGAAAAUCCAAUCAAGUUUUUCCAAUAAUGGGGUAUUCUGCAUGUUACUCUAGGUGAAUUGCCUGCCUUUUAGUGGGAUCUCCACUAGGUCAAGAUUGAUAAUGAUAUUGUUGAAAUGCAUCAUAUCAUUGUGGUCACCUCCACCUCUAUUCCUGUUCUCAGGCCCUCUAAUAUAAUUAAAGUCUCCAACAAUGAGCCACAACUGCAUAGGUUGGAUAUUAAUAUUGAGAAGCCAGUUAGAAAAUUCAACUUUGCCUUCCACAGAGUCUGGCCUGUGACACUCCAAAAUUUUUAUUUAGUUUUUAUCAAAAACUUUGUGGUUUUUGAGGAGAGGCUAUUUAAAAAUUUUCUUUUUCAGAAAAAAAAACCUUCCACUUAAAAACUUCCUUUGCCUUGGCAAGGAUUUUAUUUUUUCAAACUUUGGUGGUUGAUCUUUUGAAAACUUCUUCUCUGUUGGUUCCCUCUCAAAAUUUAUUUUUUGGAGUUUAAAUUAUUUUUCUUUUAAAAUGAAGCUCUAUGAAAAUUUGAGGAUUUUCAUAUCUUGGAACCACCCUUGACUUUGCAUUGUUCCCAUGUGGUAAAACCCUCCAAAAUCUCCCCUACACCUUGUGAUCAACCUAAGUUCUCUGUCCCAACUAAUCCAAACAAGUUUUUGGAUUUUAUUCUAAUUAUUUUCCCUCUCAAAUCAAUUCUGAAAAUUAUUUGGAGCCUUAGUGAUUUUCAAAGCAAGUACUCUUUUUCACUUGAGUUUUGACCUCACACCAACUCCCCUGGAUAGUCCUUUGUACUCACAACUCAGAACCAUCUUGAUCCACUCCUUCUCUUUUCAAAUUUUUCAAAAUUCAGUCUCUGCAAGUUUGGACCAGAUUUGCCAAAUUUGAUGAAAUUCAUAUCUACACUACUCCAAAAAUUCCACCAAAAUUCAGGCAACCUAUUUGAGCAAUGAGAAGCCACUCCACCAAGUAUCAGCUCAAGGAAAAAUCCCUAGAUGCCAUUUUCAUUCUGUCGAACACCUGAGCUACACUGUUCCUUUGCAAAUUUAGUAAGUUCAGUCUUCAGUGUCGUCUUCGUCCGUCAGUUUCAGUCACGCGGCCACAGUGCCCUUGGCACGUUCCUCGCCGCCUCUUCCUCUUGUCCGAAGCUUCACACGUGUGCGUGGAGCCUACCUGGCGUCGGUAGCUCGCUGGCCCGCCCUCGCCGGCGUCUUCUCCAGCGUCGGGAUCUCCCAUGGCGGCCGACAGGAGUCACACCACGGCAGAACGCCAUUCAGCGCCGCCCAAAGCCCCCUGGCUCUCCGCGUGGCCUCAUGCACGCCAGCGCACGCUCGUGGCACAGCCACCGUGGCCGGCAAGCACGGGACGCGCUCUCCGCCGCCGCCGGGCCCACGCCAUCCCCGUUCUGUCGAGCUCGCCCUUAACACCCAAACCCCGGCCAGUUUAGCACCAAAACGGACCCAUUGAACCCCCGUGAUGACGCUCGACCCCCUAACCACCCCGACCGAGCACUGCGCCACCGUAAUCACUCGCCGGUGAUCCUCGUUCACGGCAACCGCCUCGGACCGCCUAUAUAAAGGGGCCCCGAGCUCACUCUCGUGCACGCAGCAUCACCACUCCUCACCAACACCCCGCCAGGCCACUAGGGAGACCUCGAGGAGGUCUUCUCCCCCAGCUCCGGCCGCCUCGCCCUGCCUCGGCCUCCAGCUCGAUUCACUCUGGUGAGGCCAUCUCCGGUGCCCAAACCUCGUCCGUAGCCCUCUUCCACACCUAGCACUCUAACCCCCUCGUCAAUUUGAACCUUGCAGCCCUCUCCGGCGAGCUCCAUCUUCGUCCGAACCACCGUCCGCCGGAGCAGGGGCCGCCAUCGACACAGUGCUCACCGGCGACCGCCACCACCACCAAUCAACGCGGAAUGGCGCCCUGAGCAUGGAGGUACUCCCCGAUCUCCCUGCCUCGCCGUGGAUCGCCGCCGGCGACCACCGCGACUCUCGGGCGCCGACGAGCUUCGUCCGCCCCGUUUGAAUGUUUAAACCUGACAAGUGGGACCCCACCGUCAGCCUCUCUGCUCUCUCCUCUGAAUCGUUUUCUGGAAGCGCCUUCGGGCAGAAUGCGUUUUCUCUUUGGGCUGGCGUAGUUUCUGCCGAAGCGUUUUCUGUUUUUAUAAACUAACCCCUGGAAAUCUUCUGUUUCAUUACAGAUGAGUCCCUGGACAAAAACCUUUAUAACUUUUAAAUAGAAAAGUAUUUUUGAUUGAUUCUUCUUCUGUUCUCUUUAAAAUUUUGUCUAGUUUUUUAUCAGAUUUAUUUGAAAAAUAUUUGGUAUACUUUCUGUGCACUCCUUGGUAUUUACGAUAGCGCAUAUAUUUUCUUUAUACCGUAGAUACCGAAGGAGGUGACGGAGCCGCCAACUUCACCGAGCUAGGCUCCGACUACUCCGAACCAGGAAAGCAUGUUUGAACUUUUGAUAUGAUGAGUGUCUUGGCAUGUUUUGCAUUUAGUUAGUUUCAUGGCAUGUUGAGAAGCAUAUCGAUGAACGUUAUUUUAUGUGAUAAUGAGGUAAGUGAGUUCGAUGAUCCAUACGUGGAUGAAUGUGAAUAUGAAUGGCCAUGUGUUGGCAUGAGGAUGGGUAAGAUGGCAGUGUUGUAGCAUGCCAGUCUUACGCCAGACUAUGUGACUUCAGCGUCAAACCGUAUCGGUCCAGUACCUCUAAUUUCCUUCCAUGUACUACCACAUGUUUUCCGCAAGGAAUAUGGUUUAGUAAGUUGCAAACCGCUUUCAUGGUACACACCAAAUAGGAGAGGCCGUGAUGAUGGUUCCAUGGCCCUAGAUUAAAGCCAGUCAUCCGGUCAGGGGGCAUGGGUGUUUCCGGUUGGGACCGAGAGGGGGGCACCCCUUAGAGCGCGCGUAUAUAAAUUUGAUCCCAUGCUAUUCGAGAUUGUGAUCUCCCCGUCUCAAAAGUUUUUCUUGGACGAUGUCUAGGGUGAUUCCUAGCAUCGAGAGGUAUGAUGGGUGUGUACUGGUUAGCUGUGUUUUCUUCCGAAAUACCGUAAACGGAACUAGUCCUUCGUGACUACGGAAAUCCGUUGGCUGUGGGAAUAAUUUUGUACAAACUCUGCAGAGUCAUAUAUCCCUCCAAAUCAUCUAUUCCAUGUCCAAAUUCAUAUUAUCUUGUCCUAACAAUGACAGUGUUGAUGACAGAGACUCCGGUGUUUCGCAUGAGUGAUAAUUCCGGUUAAAUGAUAUUCCUGUGGAUGGACUAACCCUUUUAUUCUUAUGAAUUAAAAGUUUAUUAUGAUUAUUAUUUAUCUGCCCUUUAAAGCCCUUUCUGUGAUGUCGCCCCGACGUCCGACUGUGGCAUUUCUUUUAAAGCCCUUUCUGUGAUGUCGCCCCGACGUCCGACUGUGGCAUUUCUUUUAAAGCCCUUUCUGUGAUGUCGCCCCGACGUCCGACUGUGGCAUUUCUUUUAAAGCCCUUUCUGUGAUGUCGCCCCGACGUCCGACUGUGCCAUUUCUUUUAAAGCCCUUUCUGUGAUGUCGCCCCGACGUCCGACUGUGGCAUUUCUGUUAAAGCCCUUUCUGUGACAUCGCCCCGACGUUCGACUGAGGUAUUUCUUUUAAAGCCCUUUAUGUGGUGUCGCUAAGACGCCCGACUGUGGCAUCUUUUUCCUUAUAUUUAUUUGUUCACCUUUCGAGGCGUCGCUUCAGACACCCGAUCGGAAAUUAUUUAUGUUCUGUUGGGAUUUCAGGCGGACUACCGCCGUUUCCCUUUUACUUACCUUGUUAUGAUAAUUUUGAAUGAACAUUGGUGAAUAUAUUCAUGACGCAUCCAUGCAUGCAUUUGUUAUAUCUUACGUCCGAACUGUCUUGCGAGUACUUUCAAAGUACUCACUGGCUUGUUGAUUUGGCCAGAUGCUGACGAAGGCGAUUUCAUGGAUGAAGAGUUCGAUAGCGAGUCCGACACUUAGAGGAGUCCCAGUCAGUCUCGUGCGAUCCUGGAUUUGGUCACUGUUUUAUAUCCGCUUCUGCUACCAAAUAAAUUCAUCGAGCCUCACCUCGACGCUCGAUGGGAUGAUAGACAUAGAGUCUUGUAUUUCUCUCCCUGCUGUGUUUUUCCACCACCGCCCUAUCCUCGAGUCAGUAGUAUGCCUCCACACCACUGUGUCAUGUCCGCCAUUAUGUAUAAUUAUUGGCGUGCUUGUAAUAAUUUGGUUGAGCAACCGUAGUUCAACCAUGUAAUAUAUUUUAUGCUACUGGCUUAUUGUAUCAAGAAAUUGUCUACCAGUGAGGAGGAUUUCUCUCAUACUGGACUCAAAAGAUUGGUUUCUCAAUAAAUAUUUUUAUUGGAAAACCGGUCGUGACAAGCUUGGUACCAGAGCCAGGCUGACUGUAGGAAGCCACUAGGUGCGAUCGCUAAUUGGUUAUUACCAUGAUAGAGCUAAUUUAUAUUUUUGCAAUUGUAGUCAUUUUUCUGUCAGUCAGCAUAAAUUUAUGAUCUGACCAUGCAGAAUUUUUGCCUACUUUUGUAGAUGGCCGACAACAGCUGCGAGUCUCAGACCUUCGCCAACGUAGCCGAUGGGUUCGUCAAACUUCUUUCUUUCAUCGUGCAGGUCGCGAUGGGGCCAUCCGUGCGCCCAGUCUUCACACUCUACCAGCAUCGAGUCAAUGACAGUCUGACCAUGCACCAAGCCGCGGUGCAGUUCAAGGGAGGGCGUGGUGAGUUACGCCGCUUCUGGUUCGUGGGAAGAGCCAUGCCUACGGAGAGGCAUGCUAUGCAGAUGGCAGCCCGCGAGGCGAUAGCUCGUCUCAGGGAUGUCCUUCCCGUGAUGAAGACUCGUCGUUACCAUUAUCUUCCGUGCCAUGUGCCUUACACCUGUCACAACGCAUACUCCUGCGCCAGAGGAGAACGAGACGAGGCUUUUGAGAUGCUCAUUGAGUAUCUCCGGGCCCUGGAGGCAGCCUUCGACAACCUGGUGGACGACUUCGUAGCUACCCGCAUGGACUCGGUCCAUGGCUGUGCUGCCAAAAGGAGGGAGCUCCUACCCAUCGCUCCGCCAUUGACUUUUGUCUCGUCAUCAGCAUCUUUUACGCCUGCUCGUCGCCUGCCUUCUACCGAAGAAUUCAACCAAGUCAUUGCGCCCACUCCAGCACGCACUGCACCAACCUUCGCGCCCACUCCUGUACGUGUUGCUCCGCCCCUGGCAACCGCUCCGUCCUCUCUGCGCAACACUACACGUAUGGAGCCUAUUAGCGAGGAGGAAGUCGAGUCCCCAACCUGGCUACGCCUCGCCGUCGGCAGGGCAAAGGAGAUCGUCAACAUCUCCGCCUGAGUACGCUUAGCUGCCGUGUAUUGUACCGCUUUGUAAGAUAUGUACAUAGGUUUUGAGAAGUAGCCUGUUUGCGCAUCAUGUAGGAUCUCGAGGAGUGCACUAGCCUAAAUAACAUGUCAGGCUUAUGUACGCAUAUCCUGAGUGAUGUAUUUGUUGGGUUUCGUAGUAAUUUCAAAAAAUUUCCUACGCACACGCAAGAUCAUGUGAUGCAUAGCAACGAGGGGAGAGUAUUGCCUACGUACCCAACGCAGACCGACUGCGGAAGCGAUGACACGACGUAGAGGAAGUAGUCGUACGUCUUCUCGAUCCAACCGAUCAAGCACCGAAACUACGGCACCUCCGAGUUCGAGCACACGUUCAGCUCGAUGACGAUCCCCGGACUCCGAUCCAGCAAAGUGUCGGGGAAGAGUUUCGUCAGCACGACGGCGUGGUGACGAUCUUGAUGAACUACAGCAGCAGGGCUUCGCCUAAACUCCGCUACAGUAUUAUCGAGGAAUAUGGUGGCAGGGGGCACCGCACACGGCUAAGGAAUCGAUCAUGUGGAUCAACUUGUGUCAACUUGUGUGUUUAGAGGUGCCCCUGCCUCCGUAUAUAAAGGAGCCAAGGGGGGAGGGGGCGCCGGCCAAGAGGGAGAGGCGCAGGAGGAGUCCUACUCCUACCGGGAGUAGGACUCCCCCCCCAAUCCUAUUCCAACUAGGAUUCCCAAGGGGGAAAGAGGGAGAGGGGUGGCCGGCCACCUCUCCUAGUCCUAAUAGGACUAGGGGAAGGGGGGAGGCGCGCAGCCCCCUUGGGCUGCCCCUUUCUCCUUUCCACUAAGGCCCAUGAUGGCCCAUAUGGUUCCCGGGGGGUUCCGGUAACCCUCCCGGUAUUCCGGUAAAAUCCCGAUUUCACCCGGAACACUUCCGAUAUCCAAAUAUAGGCUUCCAAUAUAUCAAUCUUUACGUCUCGACCAUUUCGAGACUCCUCGUCAUGUCCGUGAUCACAUCCGGGACUCCGAACAACCUUCGGUACAUCAAAAUGCAUAAACUCAUAAUAUAAGUGUCAUCGUAACCUUAAGCGUGCGGACCCUACGGGUUCGAGAACAAUGUAGACAUGACCGAGACACGUCUCCGGUCAAUAACCAAUAGCGGGACCUGGAUGCCCAUAUUGGCUCCUACAUAUUCUACGAAGAUCUUUAUCGGUCAGACCGCAUAACAACAUACGUUGUUCCCUUUGUCAUCGGUAUGUUACUUGCCCGAGAUUCGAUCGUCGGUAUCCAAUGCCUAGUUCAAUCUCGUUACUGGCAAGUAUCUUUACUCGUUCCGUAAUACAUCAUCUCACAACUAACAUAUUAGUUGUAAUGCUUGCAAGGCUUAUGUGAUGUGUAUUACCGAGAGGGCCCAGAGAUACCUCUCCGACAAUCGGAGUGACAAAUCCUAAUCUUGAAAUACGCCAACCCAACAUCGACCAUUGGAGACACCUGUAGUACUCCUUUAUAAUCACCCAGUUACGUUGUGACGUUUGGUAGUACCCAAAGUGUUCCUCCGGUAAACGGGAGUUGCAUAAUCUCAUAGUCAUAGGAACAUGUAUAAGUCAUGAAGAAACCAAUAGCAACAUACUAAACGAUCGGGUGCUAAGCUAAUGGAAUGGGUCAUGUCAAUCAGAUCAUUCUACUAAUGAUGUGACCUUGUUAAUCAAAUAACAACUCAUUGUUCAUGGUUAGGAAACAUAACCAUCUUUGAUUAACGAGCUAGUCAAGUAGAGGCAUACUAGUGACACUUUGUUUGUCUAUGUAUUCACACAUGUAUUAUGUUUCCGGUAAAUACAAUUCUAGCAUGAAUAAUAAACAUUUAUCAUGAUUAUAAGGAAAUAAAUAAUAACUUUAUUAUUGCCUCUAGGGCAUAUUUCCUUCAGUCUCCCACUUGCACUAGAGUCAAUAAUCUAGAUUACACUGUAAUGAUUCUAACACCCAUGGAGCUUUGGUGCUGAUCAUGUUUUGCUCGUGGAAGAGGCUUAGUCAACGGGUCUGCAACAUUCAGAUCCGUAUGUAUCUUGCAAAUCUCUAUGUCUCCCACCUGGACUAGAUCCCGGAUGGAGUUGAAGCGUCUCUUGAUGUGUUUGGUCCUUUUGUGAAAUCUGGAUUCCUUUGCCAAGGCAAUUGCACUAGUAUUGUCACAAAAGAUUUUCAUUGGACCCGAUGCACUAGGUAUGACACCUAGAUCGGAUAUGAACUCCUUCAUCCAGACUCCUUCAUUUGCUGCUUCCGAAGCAGCUAUGUAUUCCGCUUCACAUGUAGAUCCCGCUACGACGCUUUGUUUAGAACUGCACCAACUGACAGCUCCACCGUUUAAUGUAAACACGUAUCCGGUUUGCGAUUUAGAAUCGUCCGGAUCAGUGUCAAAGCUUGCAUCAACUAACCUUUUACGAUGAGCUCUUUGUCACCUCCAUAUACGAGAAACAUAUCCUUAGUCCUUUUCAGGUAUUUCAGGAUGUUCUUGACCGCUGUCCAGUGAUCCACUCCUGUAUUACUUUGGUACCUCCCUGCUAAACUUAUAGCAAGGCACACAUCAGGUCUGGUACACAGCAUUGCAUACAUGAUAGAGCCUAUGGCUGAUGCAUAGGGAACAUCUUUCAUAUUCUCUCUAUCUUCUGCAGUGGUCGGGCAUUGAGUCUUACUCAAUUUCACACCUUGUAACACAGGCAAGAACCCUUUCUUUGCUUGAUCCAUUUUGAACUUCUUCAAAAUUUUGUCAAGGUAUGUGCUUUGUGAAAGUCCAAUUAAGCGUUUUGAUCUAUCUCUAUAGAUCUUAAUGCCUAAUAUGUAAGCAGAUUCACCGAGGUUUGUGAAAGUCCAAUUUUAUGCAUUUAUGGUUUUGUUUUGUGACUCUUCCCGCUUCUCUGAUGAGUUUUACAAAAUAUAUCCCCAGAGUGAAAAAUGUCUCGUCCUUGGACACGCUCCAUGCCAACUCCACCAGAGGAAAAUUAUGAUACAAAACCCAACAACGAGUUCACUCAGGGACAGUCAAGCCAACAGGGCAAUGAAUCGGCACUUUCACAAAUGUGCCGCCUUUAUGAGCAGAGUCAGCAACAACAUCGGGAGAUGAUGAACCAAGUCAUCAACAUGGGAAAUCACCAUGGACAGUAUCAACAGCAUUCCAAGUUAUCUGAGCUACAAAAGACACGUCCUCAAACAUUUUCUCACACUGACAAGCCUCUUGAAGCCGAGGACUGGCUUCGAGAUAUGGAGAGGAAAUUAAUUAUUGCAAAAUGUUCAGAUCUCGAGAAAGUACUAUAUGCUCCACACUAUCUCACAGGAGCAGCCGCAUCGUGGUGGGAGAAUUUUCUGCACAUGCAUCCCAACGAAACUGACAUAACCUGGGAUGAUUUCAAGGAAGGUUUCCGUGGUGCACAUAUUCCUAAGAGUAUUAUGAAAAUCAAGAAGAGAGAAUUCGAUGACCUCAAACAAAGGAACAUGACAGUGUCAGAUUACAACAGUCAAUUUACCCUAUUAUCCCGCUACGCCAAUGAGGAACGUAUGACUGAAAUCAAGAAGAUGGAGAAAUUCCUUGACGGUCUGGCGCCCACGCUUAAAUGCCAACUGGUCGUGCACACUUUUCCUGAUUUUAAAACACUGGUGGACAAAGCCAUUACUCUGGAAAAUGAGAGACGCAGUCUGGAAGAUAUCCGCAAACGAAAAAGGGACCAGAAGAAUCUCGCUCGCAAUCACCGAAGCAAGACAGAUUUUCAAAAGGGUGGGACACACAAAUUCUCAUCCAAUGCCUCACGCCCAAUCAAGAAUUUUCAUGCAAGGGACAAGGAAUUCACCUAUCGCCCCGGCGUUACUUGUUACGCUUGUGGAGAAGAAGGGCACUAUGCCAAACAGUGCCCCAAGCCAAGGAGUUCAACCCCAAAGCCGAACAACGGCGGCAAUAAUUCAGCACCCAAGCGAAACAAUUUCAAUCCCAACAAUAACCACAUGAAGGGUCAUCUGAACCACAUAACCAAAGAGGAGGCACAAAAUGCUCCGCAUAUCGUACUCGGUACGUUUCCUGUCAACACAAUACCUGCAAUGGUUUUGUUUGAUUCUGGAGCUUCUCGCUCUUUCAUUUCGAAAAGUUUUGCUUUGCAAAAUAAAUUUUCGAUACUUCCUUUGGAGAAAUCCAUGAUCAUCAAGUCCCCUGGGAUUCAGCAAGUAUCUCAGAAUUACUGUCAAAAUGUGGUCAUUGAGUUCGAAGGAUUGGAGUUUCACGCAAAUCUUAUUGUAUUGGAAAAUAAAGGACUGGUGUCAUCCUAGGAAUGGAUUGGCUAACCACCAAUAAAGGUUUCAUCGACUGUUAUAACAGGACCGUGAUUCUCACACACCACCAAGGGAAGACAAUAAGAGUAUCAGCCAAGGAAGGAAGAAGACCCCGGCAACCGAGAUUAAAUAAGGUGAACGUUUCUGAGCUAAACAAGGUUCCAGUAGUGUGUGAAUUUCCAGAUGUAUUCCCUGAAGAGCUGCCAGGCAUGCCACCAGACCGAGAAAUAGAAUUCCGCAUUGAGCUAGCACCAGGAACCGCCCCCAUAUACAAGAAACCGUACAGAAUGGCACCAUCCGAGUUGGUCGAGUUGAAGAAGCAAAUAAAGGAAUUACUGGAAAAAGGAUACAUUCGAGCCAGCUCCUCACCUUGGGGAUCACCAAUUUUAUUCGCCAAAAAGAAGGAUGGAACACUAAGAUUGUGUAUUGACUAUCGAGCACUUAACAUGGUCACAGUCAAAAACAAAUACCCGAUGCCAAGAAUAAAUGAUUUAUUUGAUCAGCUCGCUCAGGCCAAAGUAUUCUCAAAAAUUGACUUAAGGUCAGGAUAUCAUCAAUUGAAGGUGCGAACGGAAGAUAUCCCCAAAACAGCCUUCACCUCUAGAUAUGGACUGUACGAGUUCACAGUGAUGCCAUUUGGAUUAACUAACGCCCCAGCAUAUUUUGUUCACCUCAUGAACAAAGUAUUUAUGAAGUUUAUGGACAAGUUCGUCGUGGUAUUCAUCGACAAUAUUCUGGUAUACUCCAAGACACCAGAAGAGCACGCAGAACAUCUCAGGAUUGUGCUAGGAGAGCUAAGAAAACACCAAUUGUAUGCCAAGUUCAGCAAGUGCGAAUUUUGGCUAAGACAAGUAGGUUUUCUAGGCCACGUGCUGACUCAAGACGGUAUCGCAGUGGACCCAGAGAAAGUUAAGGCCGUACUUGACUGGAAAUCACCAGCCAGCGUAACGGACAUACGGAGUUUCUUGGGAAUGGCAGGAUAUUACCGCAGAUUUAUUGAAGGAUUUUCCACCAUAGCCAAGCCUAUGACACAAUUGCUCAAGAAAGAUAAGAAAUUUGAGUGGACAGAAGCCUGCGAGAAAAGUUUCCAAGAGCUAAAGCGGAAAUUAACAACAGCACCGGUAUUAAUUGUACCCGACAUACACAAGAAUUUUGAAGUAUAUUGUGAUGCGUCCAGAAAGGGUCUCGGAUGCGUGUUGAUGCAAGAAGGCAAGGUUGUCGCCUACGCUUCAAGGCAACUUCGCAAGCAUGAGGAAAAUUAUCCCACUCAUGACUUAGAAAUGGCAGCAGUUAUUCAUGCACUCAAGGAAUGGAGGCAUUUCUUACUUGGGAAUCGAUGUGAAAUAUAUACGGACCACAAAAGCCUCAAAUAUAUUUUCACGCAGCCAGAACUAAAUUUACGGCAACGACGCUGGUUGGAAUUGGUAAAGGAUUAUGAUGUUGGGAUCCAUUACCAUCCAGGGAAAGCAAAUGUAGUGGCCGAUGCCCUGAGUCGGAACCCCAGCUCCAACGGAAACUAUCUGCACAGCUUGAGGCCCGAAUUCCAUCAAGAAUUUGCCAAGCUCAACUUGAUGAUGGUAGCAGAAGGCACCAUAUCAAACUUGGAAAUACGACCCAACCUUGUGGAGAAAAUUAAAGAAGCUCAGCCCGGUCACCCCAGCAUUGAAGGAAUUAAAAGAAAGUUGAAUAUGGGCAAGGCCUCGAAAUUCAUCAUAGACAAUGAAGGAAUGUUAUGGUACGGAGAAAGGCUAUGCGUGCCAAACAUAGAAGACCUUAAACAGCAAAUUUUAGCUGAAGCACACACCACUCCAUAUUCGAUCCACCCUGGAGGAACCAAAAUGUAUAAGGAUAUUCAGGAAAGAUUUUGGUGGCACGGUAUGAAGAGGGACAUAGCCGCCUUCAUUGCAUGUUGCGACUCAUGUCAACGCAUAAAAGCUGAACAUCAGAGACCAGCCGGACUACUGCAACCUAACAAAAUACCUGAGUGGAAAUGGGACGAAAUAGGGAUGGAUUUUAUUGUCGGACUACCUCGGUCACGACACGGGAAUGAUGCCAUAUGGGUCAUCACUGACAGGUUGACCAAAGUGGCACACUUUAUUCCAGUGAAGACAACCUACACCACUUAGAGGCUUGCCAGGAUUUAUCUUUCCCGCAUAGUUUGUCUGCACGGUGUCCUGAAGACUAUAAUAUCCGACAGAGGCACUCAGUUCGUCUCAAGAUUUUGGGAGCACUUACAACAGGCUCUGGGAACCCAACUAGCCUUCAAUACCGCAUACCAUCCACAGACUGAUGGACAAACUGAACGCGUAAACCAAAUUUUAGAAGACAUGCUGAGAGCAUGUGUCCUCACAUAUGGAACCAGUUGGGAAGAAAGCAUGCCAUACGUCGAGUUCGCGUAUAACAAUAGCUACCAGGCCAGCCUACAAAUGGCACCAUUUGAGGCUUUGUACGGACGGAGAUGUCGUACCCCGUUAAAUUGGUCAGAGACCGGAGACAGCCGCAUCUUCGGACCAGACAUGCUCAGAGAAGCCGAGGAAAAGGUCAAGCUAAUCAGAGACUGACUUAAGACCGCUCAAAGUCGACAGAAGAGUUAUUAUGAUCAGAAACAUCGUAGGGUCAGCUUCGAACCCGGUGAGUUCGUAUACCUGAGAGUAUCCCCUAUGAGAGGAUUGCAACGAUUUAAGAUUAAAGGAAAGUUAGCACCAAGAUUCAUUGGACCAUUCUGCAUAGUGGCAUGAAGAGGCACUGUAGCCUACCAGCUAGACUUACCCGAGGAAUUAUCCGAUGUCCACGACGUGUUCCAUGUCUCGCAAUUGAGGAAGUAUGUAAGCAACCCAGAGAAACAAGUAUCCCAUGAAAACAUUGAUGUGCAGCCAGACCUCACUUAUCGAGAACAUCCCGUAAGAAUAUUAGAGGAAUCUGAAAGGAGGACCCGACAGAAGACCAUCAAGUUUUUCAAAGUCCAGUGGAGCAAUCACACCGACAGUGAAGCAACUUGGGAAAGCGAGGAUUUUCUUCGGACUGAGCAUCCACACCUAUUUAAGGAUCAGCUGAAAUCUCGGGGACGAGAUUUUUCCUAAGGGGGUAGGUGUUGUGACACUCCAAAAUUUUUAUUUGGUUUUUAUCAAAAACUUUGUGGUUUUUGAGGAGAGGCUAUUUAAAAUUUUUCUUUUUCAGAAAAAAAAAACCCUCCACUUAAAAACUUCCUUUGCCUUGGCAAGGAUUUUAUUUUUUCAAACUUUGGUGGUUGAUCUUUUGAAAACUUCUUCUCUGUUGGUUCCCUCUCAAAAUUUAUUUUUUGGAGUUUAAAUUAUUUUUCUUUUAAAAUGAAGCUCUAUGAAAAUUUGAGGAUUUUCAUAUCUUGGAACCACCCUUGACUUUGCAUUGUUCCCAUGUGGUAAAACCCUCCAAAAUCUCCCCUACACCUUGUGAUCAACCUAAGUUCUCUGUCCCAACUAAUCCAAACAAGUUUUUGGAUUUUAUUCUAAUUAUUUUUCCUCUCAAAUCAAUUCUGAAAAUUAUUUGGAGCCUUAGUGAUUUUCAAAGCAAGUACUCUUUUUCACUUGAGUUUUGACCUCACACCAACUCCCCUGGAUAGUCCUUUGUACCCACAACUCAGAACCAUCUUGAUCCACUCCUUCUCUUUUCAAAUUUUUCAAAAUUCAGUCUCUGCAAGUUUGGACCAGAUUUGCCAAAUUUGAUGAAAUUCAUAUCUACACUACUCCAAAAAUUCCACCAAAAUUCAGGCAACCUAUUUGAGCAAUGAGAAGCCACUCCACCAAGUAUCAGCUCAAGGAAAAAUCCCUAGAUGCCAUUUUCAUUCUGUCGAACACCUGAGCUACACUGUUCCUUUGCAAAUUCAGUAAGUUCAGUCUUCAGUGUCGUCUUCGUCCGUCAGUUUCAGUCACGCGGCCACAGUGCCCUUGGCACAUUCCUCGCCGCCUCUUCCUCUUGUCCGAAGCUUCACACGCAUGCGUGGAGCCUACCUGGCGUCGGUAGCUCGCUGGCCCGCCCUCGCCGGCGUCUUCUGCAGCGUCGGGAUCUCCCGUGGCGGCCGACAGGAGACACACCACGGCAGAACGCCGUUCAGCGCCGCCCAAAGCCCCCUGGCUCUCCGCGUGGCAUCAUGCACGCCAGCGCACGCCCGUGGCACAGCCACCGUGGCCGGCAAGCACGGGACGCGCUCUCCGCCGCCGACGGGCCCGCGCCAUCCCCGUUCCGUCGAGCUCGCCCUUAACACCCAAACCCCGGCCAGUUUAGCACCAAAACGGACCCAUUGAACCCCCGUGAUGACGCUCGACCCCCUAACCACCCCGACCGAGCACUGCGCCACCGUAAUCACUCGCCGGUGAUCCUCGUUCACGGCAACCGCCUCGGACCGCCUAUAUAAAGGGGCCCCGAGCUCACUCUCGUGCACGCAGCAUCACCACUCCUCACCAACACCCCGCCAGGCCACUAGGGGGACCUCGAGGAGGUCUUCUCCCCCAGCUCCGGCCGCCUCGCCCCGCCUCGGCCUCCAGCUCGAUUCACUCUGGUGAGGCCAUCUCCGGCGCCCAAACCUCGUCCGUAGCCCUCUUCCACACCUAGCACUCUAACCCCCUCGUCAAUUUGAACCUUGCAGCCCUCUCCGGCGAGCUCCAUCUUUGUCUGAACCACCGUCCGCUGGAGCAGGGGCCGCCGUCGACACAGUGCUCGCCGGCGACCGCCACCACCACCAAUCGACGCGGAAUGGCGCCCUGAGCACGAAGGUACUCCCCGAUCUCCCUGCCUCGCCGUGGAUCGCCGCCGGCGACCACCGCGGCUCUCGGGCGCCGACGAGCUUCGUCCGCCCUUUGAAUGUUUAAACCUGACAAGUGGGACCCCACCGUCAGCCUCUCUGCUCUCUCCUCUGAAUCGUUUUCUGGAAGCGCCUUCGGGCAGAAUGCGUUUUCUCUUUGGGCUGGCGUAGUUUCUGCCGAAGCGUUUUCUGUUUUUAUAAACUAACCCCUGGAAAUCUUCUGUUUCAUUAUAGAUGAGUCCCUGGACAAAAACCUUUAUAACUUUUAAACAGAAAAGUAUUUUUGAUUGAUUCUUCUUCUGUUCUCUUUAAAAUUUUGUCUAGUUUUUUAUCAGAUUUAUUUGAAAAAAAUUUGGUAUACUUUCUGUGCACUCCUUGGUAUUUACGAUAGCGCAUAUAUUUUCUUUAUACCGUAGAUAUCGAAGGAGGUGACGGAGCCGCCAACUUCACCGAGCUAGGCUCCGACUACUCCGAACCAGGAAAGCAUGUUUGAACUUUUGAUAUGAUGAGUGUCUUGGCAUGUUUUGCAUUUAGUUAGUUUCAUGGCAUGUUGAGAAGCAUAUCGAUGAACGUUAUUUUAUGUGAUAAUGAGGUAAGUGAGUUCGAUGAUCCAUACGUGGAUGAAUGUGAAUAUGAAUGGCCAUGUGUUGGCAUGAGGAUGGGUAAGAUGGUAGUGUUGUAGCAUGCCAGUCUUACGCCAGACUAUGUGACUUCAGCGUCAAACUGUAUCGGUCCAGUACCUCUCAUUUCCUUCCAUGUACUACCACAUGUUUUCUGCAAGGAAUAUGGUUUAGUAAGUUGCAAACCGCUUUCAUGGUACACACCAAAUAGGAGAGGCCGUGAUGAUGGUUCCAUGGCCCUGGAUUAAAGCCAGUCAUCCGGUCAGGGGGCAUGGGUGUUUCCGGUUGGGACCGAGAGGGGGGCACCCCUUAGAGCGCGCGUAUAUAAAUUUGAUCCCAUGCUAUUCGAGAUUGUGAUCUCCCCGUCUCAAAAGUUUUUCUUGGACGAUGUCUAGGGUGAUUCCUAGCAUCGAGAGGUAUGAUGGGUGUGUACUGGUUAGCUGUGUUUUCUUCCGAAAUACCGUAAACGGAACUAGUCCUUCGUGACUACGGAAAUCCGUUGGCUGUGGGAAUAAUUUUGUACAAACUCUGCAGAGUCAUAUAUCCCUCCAAAUCAUCUAUUCCAUGUCCAAAUUCGUAUUAUCUUGUCCUAACAAUGACAGUGUUGAUGACAGAGACUCCGGUGUUUCGCAUGAGUGAUAAUUCCGGUUAAAUGAUAUUCCUGUGGAUGGACUAACCCUUUUAUUCUUAUGAAUUAAAAGUUUAUUAUGNNNNNNNNNNNNNNNNNNNNNNNNNNNNNNNNNNNNNNNNNNNNNNNNNNNNNNNNNNNNNNNNNNNNNNNNNNNNNNNNNNNNNNNNNNNNNNNNNNNNNNNNNNNNNNNNNNNNNNNNNNNNNNNNNNNNNNNNNNNNNNNNNNNNNNNNNNNNNNNNNNNNNNNNNNNNNNNNNNNNNNNNNNNNNNNNNNNNNNNNNNNNNNNNNNNNNNNNNNNNNNNNNNNNNNNNNNNNNNNNNNNNNNNNNNNNNNNNNNNNNNNNNNNNNNNNNNNNNNNNNNNNNNNNNNNNNNNNNNNNNUUUAAAGCCCUUUCUGUGAUGUCGCCCCGACGUCCGACUGUGGCAUUUCUUUUAAAGCCCUUUCUGUGAUGUCGCCCCGACGUCCGACUGUGGCAUUUCUUUUAAAGCCCUUUCUGUGAUGUCGCCCCGAUGUCCGACUGUGGCAUUUCUUUUAAAGCCCUUUCUGUGACGUCGCCCCGACGUCCGACUGAGGUAUUUCUUUUAAAGCCCUUUAUGUGGUGUCGCUAAGACGCCCGACUGUGGCAUCUUUUUCCUUAUAUUUAUUUGUUCACCUUUCGAGGCAUCGCUUCAGACACCCGAUCGGAAAUUAUUUAUGUUCUGUUGGGAUUUCAGGCGGACUACCGCCGUUUCCCUUUUACUUACCUUGUUAUGAUAAUUUUGAAUGAACAUUGGUGAAUAUAUUCAUGACGCAUCCAUGCAUGCAUUUGUUAUAUCUUACGUCCAAACUGUCUUGCGAGUACUUUCAAAGUACUCACUGGCUUGUUGAUUUGGCCAGAUGCUGACGAAGGCGAUUUCAUGGAUGAAGAGUUCGAUAGCGAGUCCGACACUUAGAGGAGUCCCAGUCAGUCUCGUGCGACCCUGGAUUUGGUCACUGUUUUAUAUCUGCUUCCGCUACCAAAUAAAUUCAUCGAGCCUCACCUCGACGCUCGAUGGGAUGAUAGACAUAGAGUCUUGUAUUUCUCUCCCCGCUGUGUUUUUCCACCACCGCCCUAUCCUCGAGUCAGUAGUAUGCCUCCACACCACUGUGUCAUGUCCGCCAUUAUGUAUAAUUAUUGGCGUGCUUGUAAUAAUUUGGUUGAGCAACCGUAGUUCAACCCUGUAAUAUAUUUUAUGCUACUGGCUUAUUGUAUCAAGAAAUUGUCUACUAGUGAGGAGGAUUUCUCUCAUACUGGACUCAAAAGAUUGGUUUCUCAAUAAAUAUUUUUAUUGGAAAACCGGUCGUACAAAGUACUUAUUACAGACCAUCAUAAGCAAAAGUGCACACAGGCACAUAACACAGAGGAACAUAAAGCAGAUAGUUUGAUGGGAACUGAAAAUAAAGCAUAGAAGACAACAGUUUGGGGAGUUGUCAAGGCCCCGUAGCAGAGCAGGCCAUCUAAUCAUCUGAGCUGUCAUAGUUCAGGGCUGAGGAUGACACUUCAUGAGGUGCCAUCUUGCAAGGUCUAGUCCCAAUAGUCUGAAUAGUUUCCAAUGGCAGCACAAGAGGUGGAGGAGCAUUUUUGUCCAUCACCACAGCUUCAAAUCUUGGCCCAAGGUUGAUUGCAACAUCUGGUUUCUUCCCCAUAUUCUCAACUGAUUUGUUCUGCAUGGGUGCUUGCCAGUUGGAGGAGCCAGCCUUGUCAAUUACAGCAACAACAUCAGACUUGUCUUUAAAGCCCAUCUUGAUCUGAGCAAUUCUAUUGCUCCUUCCGCAAAAAGCCUCAUCAACAAUUGGUUUCUUCUUCCUCUUGUUGUGACCAGAUGGCUUGCAGACCUCAGCAAAAACUUCUUCAGUAAUCUCAGUAAGACUAGCAGAGCUGACAGGUGCAGGUUGGUUUUGGACAGUCAUAAUUUGCAGAUAACACUUCUUGCUAAAACCCUGAGUGCCUUCAACAUCCACAAUGUUGAACUUAGCAUUAACUAUUUUAGAGUCACCCAGCUUGGGCAGGAUGUCAUGGGCAUUCGACACAAUAUUACCAAUGAGGCCCUGAAGAGCAGAUAUGUCAUCAGACACACAAUUGUUUUGCUCCAUAUUUCCAGUAUUAUGUGCAACCUCAUAUUCCAUAGAUGCAUUAGCUGGCACAAAGACUGGACUACUAGCUUGGAUAUCCUAAGAUCCAUCAGCAGGCACAGGGAUGAAAUCCAUUUGAUCCUCUUGCACCACCUCAUUGAGCGCCUAUGCAGUAGAGUCCUCCUGCAUGGGAGAUGGCAUGACAGCAGUGGGUAACACCUCAUUCAAAUUAUUGUUGGCAUUGCCAGCAGCAGCAGGUGCAUAAACAUCCUCAUAAGGAGCUCCAAGAUGCUCAUUGUGCGGGUUGAUAACAACCUGUUCCAUGGGGAUGUUCCCAAGUACUUCAUCGUGCCAAAAACCCUCCUGAACAUGCGGGAGAGGGUGUGGGUUUCGUCCAUCUGGGGGGAGGGGAUCUUCAUCACCACCAAGCUGACCAAUGAGCUCACGAGAAAGAAUAUAGGUAGGACAAGUCCAAGAAUCACCAUACCCAACAUCGUCCAGAUUGCGCAUAACUACUAUACUGAUGGGCAAAGUAUCCACAUUUAUGACUCUGACCUUAACAAUAAUCCUAGUUUUGUCUCUCGGAUCCUUGUUCCAGAUCAGAAAUCUACCGUAUUGAGAAACAGUGUGGCUCACAACUCCAACUUCCCAGCAUUCCAGUGGAUAGUUCAUUAACAUGAGCCAAGCAUCAUGGGUAAAAGUGAUGCUACAGUAGUUCAAACUCCUAUCAUGCCUGGUAAUGCAAAGAACAGAGUCCCCAAUCUCAUAUGGACUAUUAUUAAUGGCAGAAUCUCUCGAACAGGCAGUAGUAAAUUGGACCAGAGCAGUACCCAUACCACAUCUGGAAGAGUAGUUGAUCCUCCAUCCCUUGGCUUCAAGAUAUUCAAUGAUCAUUGCAUUGGCGGCAGGGAAAUCUUCAGGUGGAACAGCCGGAACCAGAGUAGCUAUCGCCCACUCAUCACAGACCAUAGGGAGCUCACCGCCGAGGAUGACAUAGCCUCGCUGCACUCGUUCAGGGCCUGGAGCAAUGAUCGUAGUGCCUGCGGGGAGUGUGGGUAUGGGUUGCACGGGUAGCAGGCCAUGGCGUUCGUGGAGGUGGAGCUGGCGACUGGUGGAGUGCGGCGGCUAGGCAGGGGGUAGAAUGCGAGGAGACAAGGGGGGCGGCUCCUGGGAUUUAUUGCGCUCAACAGGUGCAGACUUUUUUAUUCGAUAAAUCAGCGUGCCGUUUUUCUUGUUGAGACAAAACCUGGCGAUGUGAUUAUAGACAAAACACUUUUUGCGUCUGAUACUGUUGCAACAACCCGUAGGAUAAUGACCAUAUCCCAAGCAUUUCGACCCCUAGUGUUGUUGGAGGAGGGGCGCCCGCUACGGGAGUUGGACCUCUAGUCGAAGUUGCUCAACAUAGAGAAGAGUUCAUCGAGGGAGAAUGGGGUGGUGCAGGCGUCGAGGGCGGAGACCAAGGGCUGGUACUCCAUGUCGAGGCCGUGAAGGAUGUAGUUGAUGAGUUCGUCAUCCUGUAGAGGCUUGCCGGCGGCCGCCAGCUCAUCAGCGAGGCCACGAAAAUGGGCAAAGAAGGUGGCGACCAAUUGGGUGCCCUUCUGCGUGCUGAGCAGGGCCGUGCGAAUAUUAUUGACACGGCUCAGAUACUGCAAGGAAAACAUACCUGCGAGCAUUGUCCAGAGCAUGCUCGCCGUGGUGAUCGUGGUCACCUACAGCAGGACCUCCUUGGUGAGGGUGCUGAGGAGAUAGCCCAAUACUUGCUGGUCCUCCCGGACCCAAAGAAGGUGGAGAGGGUUGGGCUCAGAGGUUUCUUUCCCAUCCUUAUCUUUGGUGGUGAGGAACUUGGCGGCUCCGGUGUUGUGCCGUCAGCGUAGCCGAAGACUCCUGCGCCCCUGAGCUGCGGCAUCACCUGCGUGCGCCAGAGGACAUAGUUGGUGCAGGUCAUCUUCUCUGUGACUUGGCCGCUGAGGUUGGUCUGGGAAGCAUCGGAGGAAGACAUGGCUGGAGAUUGGAUCGCUAGAUGGCUUUGGAGAGGAUCGCUCUGAUUACCAUGUGCGAUGUGCAGAAACGUCUUAACCUCGGUGCGAGGGGACGUGCUGCAUGUUAUAGGCAGGGGUGCAAUAACCCUGAGGCGCAUACAGUUGAGAUCUUUACAGAAGACUUGGAGAGGAAGAGAUAGAAUAAGUUACAAGAGAUAAACAAAAACCAACUACCUAACUAUCUUUACCAAUAUUCUUGGACUCCUGAUGCGGCUCAAUGAGAUGGUGCGGCUUAGCCAAGGCAAUGUGACAAGGUAUUGUUUAACAUACAUGAUAAACAAUUGAUCGACAUAUUUUCUUUUACCAUCAAAAUGAUGAAGAGAAAUGCAUUCUUGUGUUUUUACACAAACACAUUUAGGCAAUAAAUCCUGACGAAAAUAUUUACUUUGAUGCAGUUGCCAUAUCAUGUGACCAAAUGAGAAGUCCACUUGCUUAUCUCAUUCGCUUCUUGAUUCCUGAAGAUAUCCACAUCAGAUUGCUAUUUCUAAAAGGUGUUUUAUCCUGAGAAAGAAGUAGAAUAUAUUAGUCGGUGGUACAAGGUAUACGAUUGUUCAAAAAUAAUUUAUGGUAUAUAUACAACCGAGGGUUCGAGAUGAUGAUAAAAGUAUCAGGUACAAAAGUUUAAAAAAAUGUCACAUAACACAAUGAAGAUUAGGAGCUACCUAUAGAUAUAACUUUCAAUAUCUAGAGAACCAUAGUAUUCUGAAUUUUGGCAUCGGUGGAUAGAAUUCCGCGCAAACUAUAACACUGUUUGUUCUUAAUAGCGGUAUCAAUCUGACCGUCAAACUGAACCGGAUUAGUCAAUGAUCCACUGAGCAGGAGUUUACCCAGUUUCAAAAAACAUAAAAUUUCCAUGCUCCAGUUUUAAUGUGAAAAGGGUACACAUGUUAGCACACUUCAUUCAUCCAAAUACAUUCAACAUCUACCGAAUUGUCAUUGCAUGAGAAAUUCAGGUUUUAAUCUUAUGCAUAGAACCUCAUGUAGCCUGAAUGGUACACUUCGGAUGCAUUCAACAUCAAAUGAAGUGUACUAAAUGGAUCUGGAUGUACCCUUCAGUUUUAAUUCGGUUGUUAUUAUUCAUAUUCAAACUGAUGCAUACAAGCUCAUAUAGCCUGAAAUUGUCAGCACAUCAGAUUUCAAAUAAAGUGUACCCUUCAAUUUUAAUCCAAAUAAACAUCCAGAUCCCGAACUCUGAAUAAAAAUGCAUAGAAGCCAAUGUAGGAACUGUCAGCAUGUAAUUCCCCAAUUCCUUCAUCCGGACCAUUCAACAUAAACCGAAUUCAAGAACACAUAUUAUAUACAUUCUGAAUGAACACCACAAAAUCAAAUAAAUUACAAACCACAUAGUAAUCGAGAACACACCAUAUCAUGGAAGCUCACCGGUGGUAGACUGCUUUGUAUCCUCACUGCAAAAACUCGUGCGUCAUACGGAAGGAGGUGGACCUACGGCAGGAUGCGGGUGAGAAGACCGGGGAGAUGAGAUGACGAGUAGGAGAGUCAUCAGCAGCACAGCGCAGUGCGGGCGCCGGGAGCAGCAAGCAACAAAGGCAAGCAGCAGCGGCAAGCAAAGAAACCACCAGCAGCAAGCGGCAAAGCAAGCAGCCAGCAGCGGCAACAACAACAAGCAGCAAAGCAAGCCAGCAACGAACAGCAGCAGCAAGCAGGCAGAAGAGGGCAAAGGCAACUCCUCACCUUACUGUUCGUUGCAGCUGAGUCAGACAGAUCAGGGAGGCGAGAGGACGGACAACAGCAAGUUUCAGACGGCGUCAAUGGCAGUCAGGGAGGUGACAUAAUUUUGGCAUAUCAUGCAUGUAUUGAUAACUUGUGAUUCCAUUCUCAUUUGAAAUAAUAUUUGACCAAUAAUUAUUGGCCUCUGAUCCAAUAUGGAGAGGAAAAUGGCAAUAAUCUAGUUUGGACUUUUUGAAAUUUAGAACAAGUGUGCAAGUUUAAAUUUGAGCAAAAAUUGUUCUUGUGAUUUUUUUUUAAAAAUCAAGAAAUUUGUGCUAUUUUGGUUAUAAUUUUUUAGGUCUCUGCUCAGACAGAUGUUGCACGUACACACUUACUGGUAUGGUGAAAACUCAAGUAUUGUGAUCUAUGUUAAAAAGAUGAGUUGGUCGCCAAAAUUGUUGCUUGUUUUAAGCACUAAAAUUUGUCCUUUUUAUUGGGUAAACAUAUAUGGCAGGAGUGCACACCAUAGUAACAAAAACAAGUACACAUAUUUUUAGAUUUUUUAAUUUUCAUUUCUAUUUAUUUUGAAUUUACUACCAAAACUCCUUGCCUAGAUAAUAUUGAGUGCCUUAAUUUUACUUACUAGUACAUGAUUUGUUGUGACUAUAUAUAUAUAUAUAUAUAUAUAUAUAUAUAUAUAUCUUUGCUUGUUCACAUCCUAAUGGUGUGUGGGCCACCACAGAGCAAAAGUAACUCAACACAGACGUUAUAUACUCAAGGCUAGAUUUCUACAUAAAUACAUCAUCAUUUGUAGAUCUUCCUACCCCAACCCGACCCCCAUAUGCUCCUCUUGGCCAUUUCCUAUGGUUACUUUNNNNNNNNNNNNNNNNNNNNNNNNNNNNNNNNNNNNNNNNNNNNNNNNNNNNNNNNNNNNNNNNNNNNNNNNNNNNNNNNNNNNNNNNNNNNNNNNNNNNNNNNNNNNNNNNNNNNNNNNNNNNNNNNNNNNNNNNNNNNNNNNNNNNNNNNNNNNNNNNNNNNNNNNNNNNNNNNNNNNNNNNNNNNNNNNNNNNNNNNNNNNNNNNNNNNNNNNNNNNNNNNNNNNNNNNNNNNNNNNNNAAUCACCCGCCGUCGAUCGCAUAAAGCCGCCCACUACCUGGAAUCCUGCCAGUCAAUGGCUCCUGCCCACCUCCACCUCUGACGAUCUACUCACCUAGAAACUUGGUCCUGGACCAGUAGCUCCUUAUGAUCUAGUCAAUUUUGAUCUCAUGAACUACCCCGUCUAGGAGCUCUGUCGGUGAUCUGCAUCUUUCCCGCGACGAGAAGCUCCUCCCAAGCCCGAGGUGACCUUGCUGUCAAACCAUCAAGAUACCAUUUUGUGAGAAAUUGAUAGCGUUUGUACAUGAUUUCUUCCUAUGUGGAUGGGGAUGGCCCCAAAUGACUUAUUAUUUGUAGUGGAUCCAUGAUAAAUUUUGCAUGAUAGUACAAAUCUGAUUUGAUACAUAGAUAAUUGUACUGGAUGUAUAACUAAUUCUGUAAAUGUAUGUUAACUGACUGAAUGAUAUAACAGUGAGCAUAUUUUUAAUAACAAUGCCAUGCAUAUAGAUUCUGGGGCAAUAUAGAAAUUACACAUCUCAUAAGUUUUUGGUAAUGUGAUUUUCCCCUAGUUCCAUCGCUGAUCCCCUAUAUGACCACCAUGGAGAGGAAACGCUAGGGGCAACAUGAGGGGUAGGAUCGGCAUGAGUUGCAACAUCAGGGUAAUAAGAGGAGUUGUUGUCAUUGCAGGAGUUGCAGAAGUGGCAGCUGCAGGGGAAACAUGAAUGUCAGGAGUCAUGGUGGAGUAGCAUGAGUGGUAGCACAAGUGGUUGUAGUGGUAGAGGAAAUGCCAGGAGUUGUCGUUCUAGUGGCAAUAGUUGUAGUUGUCGUUGUAGUAGUAGUAGGAGCACCGGCAUUUGCAAUGGCAGCAACAGUGUGAGGAGUGGCAAUAGGAGUAUUAGGGGCAACAACAUCAGCAACCGUGGCAGUGGUCGCAGGAGUAGUGGAAGCAGCAAUGCCAACAAUGGAAAUGACAAGGGGAGUGGAAGUGGUGGUAGUGGCAGUAGUCGUGGCAGUUGAAGCAGGGGCAAGAGCCUUGGUAGCUACAGCUAUAGUUUCAAGAGUGGUUACCUCAGUGGCAUCAAUAGUUUGGGCAGUAGGAGGAGUAGGGGCAACAGCAAUGGCAACAACAGCAUAAGUGGUCACAGGAGGAGUAGGGGCAAGAGCAGGAGCGGUGGUAGAGACUACGCUAACCAUGCAUAUGGAUUUUAUACCCUUGUCGUAUGUUUCAAGGUACAAACAAUUCAACAUCCUUUUUGUAUUCCAUGACAACGAAGGUGGUGAUAUCCCAAUGCAAGAAUAUGAAAUGGGGUAAUUUAAUUGUCGAUGGUUUAUGAGCGAGAUAUUUGAGGCACAUGGCCUGAAUCUUAGUUGGGCUAUUUCUUUUUUCAAGAAUGAUUAAUUUGUGUCUGAGGACGGGUGCUUUGUCACCAUUGUCAAAGUAUCGAUGGAGAUAGCAAUAAUUGAUAACCAAUAUUUGUAUCCCCUUCAUAUCACAAGUUGGAUCUCCUAUAGGUACAUUGAAAAUGUAAUGAUUCCUCCAUAUUUUUUUAGAAUUUAUUGAUAAAGUGCAUCAACCCCCAGGUGAAAUUGAACAUGAUUGAUUAAUCAUCCCGCAGGUUCUAAAAAUACAUCUGUUUUUUAUAGAACUAGAGAAAUGGGUAAUGUUGUUGAGUAAUAUUAUAAGUGGUAUAAAGAAGUGGAUGAGAAUUCACGGGGUGGACUUCUUAAGCGAGCUAAUUGUAAUAUCUACCCUAAUUGGCAUCUGGGUACAAUCCAUGAAAGCACCCUUCUGCGUGCGUUGUACUGAGAUGGCAGAGAGCACCUAUCUCUAAGAUAUCAUUAUACUAGGCUUAUGGUCAAAAUAAUAGAAUAUAUCGACUCACCUAUGAGGACGAUUAUUUAGUGAUUUUACAACAUAUUCUUUGUUCACGGGCUACAGAUUUUGGAGGUAUGCCAUUGAAAGUUCUUAACAUUAACUAUUUCUGAUCUUAAUGAUUAUUGCUCACAUGCUUUUAUUUUGUGUAGUCGCACUAAGAGUUAAUGAUUUCACUAUUUAUAAUGAACUUUUUAACUUCAUUGUAACUACUCUUGUGACUGAAACCAUGCCAUUUGUUGAUAUAUAUAUAUAUCCUAUUGUGUGUGUUAUAUGUACUUCCUUUUUAAGUAUUCCUAGAAUAUUAAUAAUGUAAUCUAUUAAGAGAAAUAUUUGUGUACAACUUGAAUAUUUGUCAUUGCAAACACACUUUGUUGUGCUCAAAUGUAAAUGUAUCUUUAUGUAGUUUUUAUUUCCUUUAUUUUUGUGGUAUGCUUAAUUUUUAAAAUUGGUUUUACUUUAGAUCCAAGCAAACCGAAACACUACAUUAUUUAUGGGCAUCGAUGGAUUAUAGUAGAUUUAUAUGUGUCCCCGUUCAUACUAUCCUUCAAUAUUCACAAACUCUUGGUAAUAUUGUUCUGAUCUUUAUGAACCUAACAAAUAAUUUGGUUGAAACUACUAGAGAAGAACUCUAACAAGUUUUUGGUCUAACCAAAUAAAGAUAGUAAACUGUGUGUGAUAUCAAUUGGUAGAUGUUUCCUGAAUCCUCUCAUUUGAUAUCGUUGUUGCUUAUAUCUUUGUCAAAGUUGUCCUCAUUUGGUGGUGGGGGAGAGUAGAAUUGUGAUAUAUACUUGGUACUUUCAAGGGGAAGAUCCUUAAAAUAUUCUCACAUCUACUAAAGUUGGAGGAGUCCAAGUCAUGUUGUGCAAGAAGAUUAAGAUUAUGGGAUGGUAACACUGAUGUACACCCCUAUAUAAGGGCACCCCACGCUAAGAUGAAUGACACAUUGAUCAUCUCCCAAAGACCUCAAUUUGCUAGAUAGCCAGCCCAAUCUGGAAAUCCUGCCGAGAUCAUUCGGAACUCGCCAAUUAACCUUAUACUCGUCGAGCCGUCAUUGCACUAUCCCAUGAUAUAAUCACAUUACUCGCGUAAAGGGGGCAUAACCUCGGUAAAAUAUGUACCCCAUGUCCACUACUAGGGAAAAUCUUAUACACAGAACAUUAGCAGUAGCGCGGGCUAAAAAUGCACGUUGGUGCUAAUUAGCAGCAGCGUGGUGUUUUAAACCGCACUACAGAUACAGUUAUAGCAGUAGCGCGCCCUAGUACAAAAGCGCUACUACUAAAAUUCCCACGGGUUAGCCGAUAGGCUACACAUAGUAGUAGUGAUCUACGUAGAACCGCGCUACUGCUACUUGUUUUGUAGCAGCGCGUUUACGAACAAAGGCGCUACUGCUAACGAAAAUAAAAUUAAAUGGAAAGCAAAUAAAAAAGAGAAGGAAUAGCAGUAGCGCUUGUUAAGAAACGCGCUAUAGCUACCGUAGCAGCAGCGCACUUCCUGGAACGCGCUACUCCUACUUUUAACUUAACCGCGCGGUUCGUUCUUCCCCCACGGACACUUCCCCCAAAUCCUACUCCUCCGGUGUCGCCGCCCUGCAUCGCCGUCGGCCGCCACGCGCGACCCGUUGCUCUCCCCACAUCCUCGACGCCGCCCCCGCCCCCGACCGCGACCUCGACACCGCCCCCGACCCCGACCUCGACGCCCCCCUACAUCGCCGCCCUCCGUCGUGCGCCCGGUGCCNNNNNNNNNNNNNNNNNNNNNNNNNNNNNNNNNNNNNNNNNNNNNNNNNNNNNNNNNNNNNNNNNNNNNNNNNNNNNNNNNNNNNNNNNNNNNNNNNNNNNNNNNNNNNNNNNNNNNNNNNNNNNNNNNNNNNNNNNNNNNNNNNNNNNNNNNNNNNNNNNNNNNNNNNNNNNNNNNNNNNNNNNNNNNNNNNNNNNNNNNNNNNNNNNNNNNNNNNNNNNNNNNNNNNNNNNNNNNNCUCCUCCUCCCCUACCUCUGCCUAGCUAGGGUUCUUAGGGUUAAAUUUCAGAGUUCAUCUAAUUAGUUAGGGUUCAUCAAAUUAGAUGCUAAUUAUGGCAGUAGUUGUUAAAUAGAAUUAGUUUUAGAGUUCAUCGAAUUAGUUAGGGUUAACUCUUAGAGUUCAUCAAAUUAGUUAGGGUUAAAUUUUAGAGUUCAUCAAAUUAGUUAGGGUUCAUUAAAUUUUAGAGUUCAUCAAAUUAGUUAGGGUUAAAUUUUAGAGUUCAUCAAAUUACUUAGGGUUCAUUAAAUUUUAGAGUUCAUCGGUUAGGGUUAAAUUUUAGAGUUCAUCUAACUAGUUUUUUUUACUAUUUUUAGUAAGUGUUUAAUAGAAUUAGUAAGAAAAUUAAUAUAACUAGUUGAACUAGUUUAUUUUUAUUCAUAGUAAGUGCUUAAUUGAACUAGUUGAGUUAAUACAACUAUUUUAUUUUUAGUACAAAAAUUAAUAGAAGUAGUUUACUUUUUAGUUAAAGGAAUUAUUCCCGCAUCGACGUCGACGAUGCUUAUCCCGCAUCCUUGUCGUCGAGUCGGCGGAGAACACCUGCGUCACCAGAUGGGUCAUGUCCGGGACUGGGCUCCGCCGGGGUGGUAUUGGGAGGCGCUACCUACCGGGGGCGCAGGUUGGUGAGGAGUCAGCCUGUCGUUGACCCGAACCUUCUUUGGUGGCGGUCGCAUGGGCCAGUGACAGUCCAAAGCUCGAGGACCCCGCGAAGGUGGUGCGUCACCGUGUCAGUGAGGAGGACGCGCACGUCCGUCGCUACUUGUUUGCGUUGGAGCAUAGGUUCUCCAAUACCUGGCAGGUUCUCCAGGGAUCUCACUGGAGCGAUGAUCCUGUGAUGGUUCCUUCUCUGUGGGUGUCCACCGCCCGCGCCGAUACCCGUCGUGCGCUAGGGUUUUAGUUGUAUUAGUGAUGUUAUAUGUAUGAUACUAUUCGGGAUGUAUUAGUGAUAAUAUUCGAUGAUGUACGGACGCAUGAGAUGAUUUACUUUUGCUUAUUGAAUGCAUGCUAAAAAUUUGAAUACUUACUUAUUUUAUGAUUUGGUUUUGCUUAUUGAAUGCUCAUGUCAAUAUGAGUCCUAUAAGAUAUUUUGAAGUGUAUAUCUUGUGUUGCUCAAAUAGGAUAUGUGCUUGCCCAAGUGGCCGGUCAUGUUUGCAGGUUACACCUCCGAGUGGCCUAUGUUUUGCUGGAGUGUUGAUUCAUUUUCGUUCCAGCAAAUUUCAGGCGCUCGAUAUGUCCUAUUUUAGCAAAGGUCAUGCCGGAUUUUUCCGUGAAUUUUGGCAUGACUUGUGCCAGAAUAUGUAGGAAAUAUUGAGUGUCCCAGAUUUGUGUGUUGAGUAUCCUGAUAGUUGUCUUCGAUCGAUUUUCAAUUAAUGUUUCAACUAUGAACAUAGAAAAUGUCUGACGACGAAAAGGAUUUUGGUAUUUGCAAGUACUGCGAAGACGAGCGCGGCUUGUGCGACGGAAUCUUCCUAGAUGAUGAUAGGCGCUUCAGCAUCAAGCUGGAUGAGAACUUCGAAGUGGAUACAGUAAGUCACAAUGGCAAGUCUUUUUUCGUAAUUAAGCAUGACAUCUCCUUCAUUUGCUUCAACUUAUAAUUUAAUUUUUUUACUAUUCUACUAGCAUAUCUCCUGCCAUGCAAGAGUUUUUGUCUUGGAUAAGAUAGGUUUCAGUCGUACUAUGGAGGUAAAGAAAGUUUACUUGAAGACCGAGCAUGGUUAUAUUUUCCACGCAACGACUACACCUAUUUUGGAUGCAAAACUUGGCGAGCACUAUGCAAGACUUAUGCAUUUGAGCCUGAUAUGGUUAUCACCUUUGAUAUUCGUCCAGAAGAUGAUAUUGAAGGUAAUACCGACAUCUGGGUCGAUGUGCAGACGCCUCCAGUUAUACCAUUAUGUGAGUUUCUUAACCAUAUUUAUGUCUUUGAUAUUGUUUAUUCAAAAAUAGUUGACAACUAAUUUCUAUUGUCAGCUUAUUUCCGUUCAAGCAAACAUGACCAGCGCUUGGUAGACAGGAGCUACUACUGUCCCGGGGCUGAACUAAACUGCGAGGAGCUAAGUCAUUAUGUUUCAUGGCUUCAGGAUCUUGAUACUGUCAAGACAAAUUUUCUUCCUGCACUUAGAAACGUUAGUACUGAAAACGUGCGACCAAUAGUGUUUGUACUGAACUAGGGUCACAUCUAUUUAGGAAAGAUGGUAAGAUUUUUACUAUUCGUCCUCAGUUCAUCUUUUGCGUACAUUAUUUUUUAAGCUAAACGUCAUUGCUAAGUAUGUUACUAUAUGAUGUCCUUCAACAGGGACUCCCGAUGAAUGUUGUGCCUGAUUGGAUCGAGACUAAAGGUACCAUGAAUAUUGUUAGCUUACGGCCAAGAUAUCCUACAAUGCACUUUAGUGCAUUCAGGAUUUCUAAUUGCGAGGAAUGCUUAAUAGUGAAAGACUGGAGCAAAAUUGUGAAUGAUCGCAGAGAAGUACUAGGGGGCAGCAAUCAAAAGCACAGCCCAUGAUUAGGAGACAGGUUCAUCUGCAUGCUACAACUUGAUGAAGGAGGAGUGCUAUACAUGUUUUAUGUUAUUUUACCUGAGAGAGAGAAGCAAGAGUGAUUAGCUAGCUAGAAACGAGUUUGAAGAUGAUAUGUGCUACACUAUGACUAUGAUGAUUAAAUAGCUAGUGUUCGUGGUAAUGACUAUGAUGAUUAUUAUUAGCUAGUGUUGGUGGUGAUUAGCUAGCUAGAAUGAGUUUGAAGAUGAUGAUGUGCUACACUAUGACUAUGGUGAUUAAAUAAAUACUGUUGGUGGUAAUGACUAUGAUGAUGAUUAAAUAGCUUGUGCUGGUGGAUUAGAUUCAAGUGGAGGCAACAUGUGGUGCACAUCUAAAGUACUACUAGUCCAAACUAGAUCAAGUUUCGAUUAGUAGUAUACUUUUGACAUGCACCACAUAUUGCCUCCACUUGAACCUAAUCCACCUUCAUUUGACACACUGUUAUGGACAUAAUGAUAUAAACCUCAUAAUUGGUAUUGUACCAAAAUUUGUAUAACGUCGUAUAAAUACACUAAAAAUGAAAAAAGAGUACUAGUAGCGAUGGAUAAGAAACACGCUACAACUAGCUAGAUUAGCAGCAGCGCGGGACAGAACAAGUGCUGCCGCUAUGUGUCUUAGCAGUAGCGCCUGUCGCACGCGCUACUGCUAAGUAAUAGCUGUAGCGCCUUAUUGGUAGCGCGGCUGCCCGCGCUACCAGUGGGAUUUAAACCCGCGCUACUACUAGGGUUUUCCCUAGUAGUGGUCCGUCCGGAAACCUAAGGUUAUGUCCCACUACUAAAUGAAUCUACGUGUGAAUAUAGUUUUGUUAUCAGAUAUUUUCUGGAACACUUUCAACAGAUACCUUGACCAUUGCAUUUUGAUUCAAUUUUAUUACGUGUUGUGAUGUAUUAUUUAAACUUUUAUAUUUGUUAUUUCUCCAGAAAAUAAUGAGUCUGACUUCCUUUAUUGUUGAUCAAUUUUUAUUAUUUCUCUAACCGAUUCAAAAACAAUGCAUAUAUCUAGAUAUGUGCAUUAACAUGUUUAUAUCAAAAACUAUACACUCCCUCCGUCACAAUUUAUUUUUUCCUCAUAUUUAGUUUUAAAUUUCAUCAUCAAUUGGAGGAAUGUCAUAGAAAAUAUAUAAUAAAAAUAUAUAUUGACCAUGAGAUCAACAAUAUAUUUUUAUGAUGCAUAACUAAUAUUUUAUCAUUGGUCGAACUCCAUCAUUCAAAUCUGUAGUGUUGUAUAAAGUCUUGUACAUGUAUGAGCUGGCUCUGCGAAUAAAGAAGAGAUAAUCUGCAUCAUAAUAGAAAAUUAUUAUUUAUUUAUUUAUUUUCGCCAUCCUUACAUCUUAAUUAAGCACAACAUACAUGAUUUAUUGCUUCAAAUUAAAGAGCAUCACUCUAGUUUCAUAUAUCAAGAAAUCAUAAUAAACAUGUCUGGGCCAUCGAUAAGCAUUGUUCUAGUAUAAUAAACAAGUUAUGAUUUGUGCUUAAAUAUAGAGCCGGUUAGAUGACAUCAUAAAAACCAUGGAUGCAUGUGCGCGCUCAUGGCGGCUGGGUGCAUCUUAAUUAUACAGAGGUCAGGUAUGAAUGCAUUAUACUUGUAUUGCCUUUUAUGAUUCAAUAAAAGCGUCAUCUAUCAAAGAAAAAUUCUAGCGGCUAAACAAAACAUCUACACCAUCUAGAGAAAGUUCUAGCAUUUUCUCCAUGCCGAAAUCACAUGAAUACCACAAAAGACAGGUGACUUGCCAACAACAUCAUAGAGCUAGCAACUUUAAAAGGUUACUUUUAAAGGAUAUAUCCCCGAUCUCUGCAUCUGCAUGACUGCAUCAAUUGAUGCACACAGUCGACCAGAUAGAAAAAAACAUGAUUGCCUCAAACUAUCUCAUCAGCACCAGCCGAGCACCCUUAACCAGUGGAUUUUUCAAACUCUUCCAACACCAUCUGAGCCCAUGAUCCCAAAAAGAAAUUAACAUAGCAAAAUGUAGAAGGAUUCUUCAUGUGGAGUUCCACGGUUCACGGUGACCGUAUCGACAAAGAUCAUAGUGAUCCAGGAGGUGGAUUGUUUUUGUUUGGUUGAGAAGCUACUCAUACUGGGAAUGGGGAAGUAUUUCAGGCUUGUGAUUCGCUUGGUGAAGAUUCUUAUUUCUCAUUUUGACAAAGUUGCAUACAUUGGCCACACUGCUAGGAGAAUAUGCACGUGUCGUGAUCAUAACUAUAUCAGAUCGAUUAUCGGGGUAGAACAUCGACUGUAACCUAAUGGACUGGAUGAUCAGUUGAUCACUGGAGCAGAAAAAGUCCGAUGGAAAUGGAGAGGUGUCACUUGUUUUUGGAAACAUAACUUCUUGGAUCAUUAGUUGGUGCUAGGAGUUGAGAAUCAAUACUCGUUUUCCUUUUACUAUACCCACUAGCUAGGCAGACUAGUUGAUCACUCUCGCUGGAACUGAAAAUUUCUAAUAGAAACAGAAAGGUGAUUGCCACCUAGAGCAAUAUGCUCCAACAUUUGCAUCUGCUUUUGUGAGGACCUUCUUCUUGAGCAGCUGCGCAGAUCAUAGAAAAAUCCAAGGGAAUUGUAGGUCAUCAAUAGGGCUAGGCGCCGCCUACUGGAAGGAAGAAUGUGUUCGCCAUUCCACCCUGAGCUGCCCUAGUGGCCAGGGCUAUGAUGUAAAGGAAGAUGACCCUAGCUUUUUGUCCUAUAAUUUAGUCGCUAGAUGCCACCAUGUUUAUGCCAUAUAUACUAGCCGUGGCAACUGUCCAUCGAGGGAUGUACGAUUUAGUGUUGCUAUAAAAGAACUCGGAUAAAGAUUAGGGCUCUCCAAAAAAGAGCAUUUUGAAAAGUAAGUUUUGAACAUCCAGUCUUCAGUCACGUUUAUGGGAUAGAAAUUAGCAUACAAAGCCGAUCGGCCGCCGCAGACUGCACAUUAUUCUACACUUUCUCAAAAAGACUGCUGCUGGAUGUUCCUACUAAUCUAUGGUGAAGCUAGCUAGAGUGAAGGCUCACUGUCUCCAUGCUCGGGAUCGGUGCUAAUGGGAUGGCUAAACAAUGGGUUUUUGGUAAGGUUGAAUCGGCGACUAGGGACCUUUUUGACCUACCGACUGAUAUGGAUGUGGUGCUCCUCUGCGGUGGAGGGGGAGGAUGAUUCCGGGCCGCAGUCCCAUGUGGCGGCAUCGGCGAUGAGGACGUAGAGAGGAGGAGGGGAGAACGAAUGGCCGCGGGAGGAGUGGCGGAGCUUCACUAGGGCCAAGGGGGGCUAUGCCCCCCCCCUACCCUAGAGAAAGUAUAUGAAAUACCAUUGAUUGGUAAGCUAAAAUUUUAAAAUUAUCAGUUUAAACAGAAUAUGCCCUUUUGGCUCCCCAAAACUCUGCUUUUCCCCCUCAACGAUAUCUAUCAAGCUCCACCACUGCGCGGGAGGAGUGGAGGCGACCCCGGCGUCACUUGUUAAGCCGUGUCAUCUUGCUCGGAUAGCACCGCGCCCUGCCACCAUAGUGCCACCCUCAGCAUGCAUCCGCAUCAUAGUGCGGACGCAACCGUGCGGAAGAGGCGGUGCGGGUGCGAGCUGAGGAGUGGCAGGAUGGACAUGAGGCCAAGAGCCAUCCCGGGAAUGAGAAUCGGGUCACUGGGGAAGAGCCACGCGACGAGGAGCACUGGGCCGCCUCCCAGUGCAGCUCCUAGGCUUCCGGCGACGCAUUUCCCGGUCACAUUGCGGAAAGAGCCGCCACAUGGUCGUAAUACUUCCGCAAAAGUCCAUGACAAGAGAUGCAAACUUGCAUGACUACUAUAUACACCACUAAUGGCCUUUUGCGGAAGUAUUACAACCAUGUGGCGGCGUCGGUGAUGAGGACGCGGGGAGGAGGAGGGGAGAACGAAUGGCCGCGGGAGCAGUGGCAGAGCUUCACUAGGGCCAAGGGGGGCCAUAGCCCCCCUACCCUAGAGAAAGUAUAUGAAAUACCAUUAAUUGGUAAGCUAAAAUUUUAAAAUUAUCAUAGUUUAAGCAAAAUAUGCCCUUUUGGCUCCUCAUAACUCUCCUUUGCCCCUAAAGCGUACCCUCUUGCUCCGCAAACGCCCCGCUCUGACACCACAAGGCCGCUCUCAGCACGCAUCCGCAGCACAGUGCAGACGCAGCCGUGCGGACGAGCCAGUGCAGAUGCGCGCUGAACUGUGGAGCGACGCACAAGAGGGCAAGCGCCACCUUGGCAACCAGAACAGGGUCGCCGGGGCACGAGAAGCACUGGGCCGCCUCCCAGUGCAACGCUUAGGAUCCCGACAACAGACUGCCCGACCACCUUGGGGAAAGACCCACCGAGGUGUAUUGGCGCAACAAAGCAUUUGAGGAUGGAGAGUAGGUAGGCUACACAGAGAGUGUGGAGCUCCUCCAACGACGAGAGAAUGAUGGCCAGGAAAGAAACGGUGUACACCCCAGUGCAGAAGUUCCUCAGCACCACAUCCUUCAGUUUUGAAAACUCUAUUAAUUAUGAGCUAGCUAGUCAUCGCUCAUCAAAGAAUUGGGGAAAAGUGUGAGAAGGAGAACGAGAAGUGGGCCGGAGCAGGAGAAGGAGAAGCGGGGCGAGGCAAGGCUAAUAAUGAACCUUCGAUGAUCCUAAACGAGGCAUUGACCUCUGAAUUGAUGAUGCGCAUGCUGGCAGGUUUGUUCACCCCUACUAGAGGCUAACCUGGCAUCCAUGGGGGUCACUUCGAGUGAAGAUUUUCUUUUGGCUAGCACUCAGAGAUCAGUGCUGGACCGCGGAGUGCCUCGCUAGACAUGGCCUUCCGCACGGCUCUACGUGCUCCCUGUGUGACCAGGCACCGGAAACCAUGCCCCAUCUCCUCUCGGGAUGCCCGUUCACUAGGCAGGUAUGGCAUGACAUCCUUGCUUGGUGUUGGCUCCUGGUGACCAUCCCUUCUAAGGACGCCCCCUUCCUCGACUGGCUUGCUUCUUCGGCCACCGACAUCCCCUCCUGCUUGCUCCAUGGAUUCACUUCGCUUGCACUGCUCAUUACCCGGUGGAUCUGGAAGCAGCACAAUGAUUGCGUCUUUGAUGCCGCCCAAUCAUCCGUCUCCAGGACCUCGUCGACAAUCAUGGAGGAGGCUUGCUGCCCGGCUCAUGCGGCCAGGUGCCCUAGGACUGUGUAGCAUCUUGCCUGAGGAGUAGUUCUUCUAUUUUGGGGGCGCGUACACCCCUUCUCUGUUGUACGCAUUAACCUCCUGACUCACGCCGGGCCGCAUGUUUGUGCUCAUUAGAGGUUUCUGUAAUUGUUCUUGCUACUAUUUCUACCUAUCAGUGCAAUGAUACGCAAGUCUUUUGCGUAUUUGCAAAAAAAUAACAAUUUCCUAACAUCAUAAUUGCCCGUGGAUAGUUACUCCAAUGGAUGGAGUACUUAUAGUUUGCUUCUUGGGCCACUCAAAGACGAUACUUCUUUGAUCAACAAUUUAAGUAAACAAAUAUGUAUUGUACAUGAAGAAAAGUAUAUGAUGAAAAAUAUCAUCCUUAUAUGAAUCCAUUGUUGAUGGUUUUGAUGAUAAUAACACAUAUUUGGUUGUCAAAUUGUUGAGUUCAGAAUAUGUGCAUGUCCUAUGCACCCCACCAGAGGGAAAUAGUUCUGUACAAAAGAUAAUCAAAUCCAUUUUUGUUUUCCUAAGAAACUGUUUUCGAAAAUCUCCCCACCCAUUGGUUCUGCUUUUCUUCUCUCUUGACAUUGUUGCAACUUUAUCCAAGCAAAAAAAUGUAAAUAACAUUAAAAAGACUUCUUCCGAAAUAGAGUAAAAACGGCUAUGGGCUAAAUGGUGUGGAGUGUUUUUCUUGGCACAUGCUCUUUUGAUCCUCCUGAUAUGAUCAUGUGCAAUGCUUCGGGUUUCAUCUGCCUAUACCCGACCAAAGCCUCUUGUAGCCACAAUAAAGUACACAAUAGUACAUCGCAGUAGGUUGAAGUUAUAAUCCUGCCACCAAAACUAAAUGGCACAUGCUUUCGACACCUAUAGACACACAUCGCACAUGCAGCACCUGUUGGGGAACAUAGUAAUUUCACAAAUUUUCCUACGUACACGCAAGAUCAUGGUGAUGCAUAGCAACGAGAGGGGAGAGUGUGAUCUACGUACCCUUGUAGAUCGACAACGGAAGCGUUUGGUUGAUGUAGUCGUACGUCUCCACGGCCCGACCGAUCAAGCACCAAAACUACGGCACCUCCGAGUUCUAGCACACGUUCAGCUCGAUGACGAUCCCCGAACUCCGAUCCAGCAAAAUGUCGGGGAAGAGUUCCGUCAGCACGAUGGCGUGGUGACGAUCUUGAUGCACUACCGUCGCAGGGCUUCGCCUAAGCACCGCUACAAUAUUAUCGAGGACUAUGGUGGAAGGGGGCACCGCACACGGCUAAGAAUAUGAUCACGUGGAUCAACUUGUGUGUCAAGGGGUGCCCCCUGCCCCCGUAUAUAAAGGAUCAAGGGGAGGAGGCCGUCCGGCCUUCUAUGGCGCGCCAAGGAGGAGUCCUCCUCCUAGUAGGAGUAGGACUCCUACUAGGAGCGGGAAAGAAGUGGGGAGGGAGAGGGAAAGGGGGGCGCCGCCCCCCCCCCCCCCNNNNNNNNNNNNNNNNNNNNNNNNNNNNNNNNNNNNNNNNNNNNNNNNNNNNNNNNNNNNNNNNNNNNNNNNNNNNNNNNNNNNNNNNNNNNNNNNNNNNNNNNNNNNNNNNNNNNNNNNNNNNNNNNNNNNNNNNNNNNNNNNNNNNNNNNNNNNNNNNNNNNNNNNNNNNNNNNNNNNNNNNNNNNNNNNCUCCUAGUCCAAUUCGGACCAGGGGGAGGAGGCGCGCGGCCCACCUUUGGCUGCCCCUCUCUCUCUCCACCAAGGCCCAUGUGGCCCAUUACUUCUUCCGGGGGGUUCCGAUAACCCUCCGGCUCUCCGGUUUUCUUCGAAAUCACCCGGAACACUUCCGGUGUCCGAAUAAAGCCGUCCAAUAUAUCAAUCUUUAUGUCUCGACCAUUUCGAGACUCCUAGUCAUGUCCGUGAUGACAUCCGGGACUCCGAACUAACUUCGGUACAUCAAAACUCAUAAACUCAUAAUAUAUCUGUCAUCGAAACCUUAAGCGUGCGGACCCUACGAGUUCGAGAACAAUGUAGACAUGACCGAGACACGUCUCCGGUCAAUAACCAAUAGCAGAACCCGGAUUCUCAUAUUGGCUCCUACAUAUUCUACGAAGAUCUUUAUCGGUCAGACCGCAUAACAACAUACGUUGUUCCCUUUAUCAUCGGUAUGUUACUUGCCCGAGAUUCGAUCAUCGGUAUCUCAAUACCUAGUUCAAUCUCGUUACCGGCAAGUCUCUUUACUCGUUCCGUAAUACAUCAUCUCGCAACUAACUCAUUAGUUGCAAUGCUUGCAAGGCUUAUGUGAUGUGCAUUACCGAGAGGGCCCAGAGAUACCUCUCUGACAAUCGGAGUGACAAAUCCUAAUCUCGAAAUACGCCAACCCAACAUGUACCUUUGGAGACACCUGUAGAGCACCUUUAUAAUCACCCAUUUACGUUGUGACGUUUGGUAGCACACAAAGUGUUCCUCCAGCAAACGGGAGUUGCAUAAUCUCAUAGUCAUAGGAACAUGUAUAAGUCAUGAAGAAAGCAAUAGCAACAUACUAAACGAUCGGGUGCUAAGCUAAUGGAAUGGGUCAUGUCAAUCAGAUCAUUCACCUAAUGAUGUGAUCCCGUUAAUCAAAUAACAACUCCUUGUUCAUGGUUAGGAAACAUAACCAUCUUUGAUUAACGAGCUAGUCAAGUAGAGGCAUACUAGUGACACUCUGUUUGUCUAUGUAUUCACACAUGUAUUAUGUUUCCGGUUAAUACAAUUCUAGCAUGACUAAUAAACAUUUAUCAUGAUAUAAGGAAAUAAAUAAUAACUUUAUUAUUGCCUCUAGGGCAUAUUUCCUUCAGCACCAAGGAUCACCACGUGGCCAUCGAGAAGGGGAGCGUGUCCUAGAUUACCGCUCACCAAGGGAGGCCGACACUGACCACCGACAUGGUUUCCACCAGAUCGAUGGCGAUCGUCCUAGUUAAUACCUCCCUUGGUGACUUCCAAUGUUCCAAAUGGUCACAACCGUUGCUUACUUCAAAAAUAAAAAAGCGGAGGGCCUAUGAGGGUAGGUGUUAUCAGAUUUGCCGGCUUUCUUCGGUCUUGGAAGAUGGUGUGUUGAUCAAGGCAAGCAGAUGACUAAAUCUUGGUGUGGCAAUAUCGACCUCUUCUUGUGAGCUCUUUUGUGACAUGACUCGAUUUCUCCAACCCUCUGGAUUGGUAGUGAAUGAUUGCAAGUUCGUGUUGCAUGGGGUGAUGCCCAACCGACAUUCCUUCAAUGGUUAUUAGAUCUCAUUUCUAGCCACGAGGGACUAUAUUGCAAUCUUCAAAGACGGGUAUGACAAGGGCAUUCGCAAGUGUCCAUUUUACUUUAAUGUUGGUUCAGUGCACUCUUCAUGCUUCGGCAAGCGGCAUACAAUCGAAGGAAGACGACAACCAGUGUAUUUUUGACAUAAUUUUACUUUUAUUGGUGGUUUUGUGUCUUGUCAUGUUUCCAUUGUAAUGUCUAUGGUUUUCCCUCAAAUUUCAGUUACAAGAUGCCCCUUUGGAUAUCUUUUACAAAAAAACAGGUCGCAACCCUUGAUAUAUCAAUCCGAUGUCUAAUAUGAGUUUUUUAAUUUCUUUUGGUGGAGAUCAGUAGGUUAACCAAGGGAUUAACCUCCCCGCAAUUAGUUAUAGAGCUCGCCAACCAUGAAGUCGGUGCCCUAUCCAAGGAUCUCACCAACCGCAACAUGGACUCGCCGCCUCUCGGCAUUGAUCAAUAUGUUAGAGACAUUGUCCAGAUCACAAGUAUACUUGUGGUUGUGGCCAACGAUGUUGGUUCUCCUCCCCGGUCAUAUGAGUGGCUUUAGACGUAAAUGUUUGAUUUCAAAGAGACGAUGUAAAAAAAACUUUUUGAAUUAAAUUGCGCAUCGAGGGCCCAAUUCCAUUCAUGGUGAAGUUGGUAAGACAACAUUAAUGUUCUCAAAAUAGAAAAGAGAAAAAGAAGGAUGCCAUGGGCUAAACCCCAUAUAACAACACUUGGAUUAAAGUUUGUCUUUUUUAGCUAAUUAAAGUUUGUCUUCUAUCACCGCCCUAUCAAAACAAUAGACAUUUAGAAGCCUAGCUCACACCCACAUUUAGAAGCGGCAUAUCCUAUAUACCUAAGAGACUGAUCCCCACUACUUCUAAUUAUCUCAACAUAUUCCACAUCAUUGAAAUUGUUAUAGCCAUUAGACUCACUAUCUAGAUCCACUAGCAUCCAUCUGAUCUACACAUGAGAAUCCUCUAUCAUGCAACAUGCAUUUUCCAAGUUCAAAGGACGGAUCACAACCAGCACAUUAUUAUCAUUCCAAGAUACACCACAGGUCAACCUCUAAUCCUUCCGCACCCAUUGGCAGCUUGCCGACCAUCAAAAUCUCUCUUGUUGAAAACUUCAGAUGCCAACAUCAACACUAUGUGUGCCCCUAUUUCUUGCAUGUCGCACAAAUCUUGUGUAUGUAAGCCGAACAAAAAUACAUCUAGUAAGCCACCAUAACAGCUACGCAACUAGGAUCAAUUGGAAAUAAAUGUCUAAAAUAUGCCUCAUUUCUCAUUCUCUAAAUAACCUAAAUAACAUCGGCCACUCUAGGUAAAAACCAACAAUUGUUUAUUGCCAAAAAAUGUAUCACCCACUCACAUAGUCAUUCACUCCACCCCACCCCACCCCUAAUGCAACAAUGAAUGUCUAGUAAGGAUAUUGUUUCUAAGCUGGCCAUAGAAAGAUUUUAUUCCAUGUCACAGGAAACUAUUUCCGGGGAGCAAUGCUUAUUGGUUCAUGCACGAAUUUAUUAGGCCAGAGAUAUCGAUCGCAUAUGUGUUGUUUCAAUUAGAAUAAAAGCUCAAGUUUAUUGUGAGUUGUUGUGUUGUGGUCACUGAAUUCGAAAGGAACCCAACUCACUGUUUGGACUUCGAGAUCAUUUUAGCUUAGGCAUACCGUUAACUUAUGAAGUGAAAGUACUUGUCUUGUUUCAUAAUGGCAAUGACCUAGUAUAUUAAUGCAUGAAUAUUAGAACUUAACUUUACAUUUUGACAACAACCAUUGUACUCUUAAUUAAAAUAAUAGAAUUGAUUCUUAUUAUUGUUCUAAGUCAUCUAAUUUAAUAAGUAUGUCCAUCAGAAACAUUUUUGUGACUAGAAAACUAUUCAAAUUUCGAAGAAUUGGACUUCAUAGAAGUUUUCCACGUGUGGGUUGCUCAAGUUGUAGGCUUCAAUAGUACAUGAAUGUUCCAAUGAUUUCCUUCAUACUGUAUUAUUUUGCAUCCAUUCUGGCCUCUCGGAAACACUAUUUUAUAUUUCAUACGACUAGCGAAAUAAGCAUUAAUGUAAAUACAACCUCGUAGAAAUCAAGUGGGGUGAUAUUGUUAAAAAAAUGUCUCGGUUCUCAAAAUCAUGUGAAUUAAAGAUGUCCACAAUAGCAGAUUGCACUUGCUUCCAUCUUGAGUUUCCAAGGGCUUAGUUUAUACAAGUAAAAUAAACUAGAUACUGACAUCUCUUCAAUAUCUUAGGAGAAAUUUUGAAUAUAAGCAUAUAAAUUGGUUAUAACUAAAUAUGUACAAUGUUCUAGAUUGGUACUAAGAGUUUGUCUAUAUGAAAUCGUGUUGGGUGGACUCUAAAUUAAAUUGUGUGACGAGGACGGUGGUUUUUAUGUGGCACUCCCUAGUGAUUUUUUUGUUGAUAACAUAAAGGUUGACUAAAGUGAUGUAUGGCUAAUGAAAAACUUUAUUUAGGUUUGAAUGAGUUAAGAUGCUGAUACUUGUUGAACCGUCUGAAGUAGAUUAUGGCGAUGGGAGAAAACAAUGCAAAUCUAGCCACAUUGCUUUUACAAGUGAAACCCUAAUGGAGGACCACAAUUGGUCAUGGUUAGAUGUGAUUGUACUCUUAGCCCAUUACAGAUAAAAUUCCAUGUGUAAAUGCUCUAUGUGUCUCAUUAAAACAUAAUAUUUGCAUAGUGUGAGGUCACCUUUAUCUGCCCAUAGUUGAUAGUGAAGCACAUGCAUCAACUUAUUUAAUCUUAGUACUCCAUGAUUCCAAUAUUUGAGAAGUGUUGUGCGAGUGUAUGGAUGGGUGCGCACUCGCGCACACUUGCCUAUGACAUAUGUGCAUGUGUGUGUGUGCCCUUGUAAAAACUCCAAAUCUAAAAGUAUCUUAUAAGUAAGGCUAUUAUUUUCGAGGAAGCAACGUAUGAGUGUGAUUUAUCAUCUAUUUUUAGAGUCGGGUGUUUUAUCAUUUAUGAUGCAACCUUCAGGUGAUUUAACUGAAAACUAUCAGGCUAAAGGCCACAUAGUGUAUUCUUAACAACAUGUGUUUCCUUUACUUAUCAGGCUGAAGCUUCCCAAAAACCAAGAUCAUUAUUUUCGCGACACAUCGUUAUGCUUUACAGGCAAUUCUUAUUUGCGACGGAUGAUUUCUAAGGGCAUAUACAAUGGUGUUAUCUUAUGAGUAGCACAUAGAAUAAAUAUUGAGAUGGAAGAAACAGAAACCAGAAAAAAGGGUAAAAACCAUGAUCCGCAUCCGUUUGUGGGUGCAUGAAGCUUGGCAUGUUUGUGGUGCCACGUAGGAUUGAGCUGGUGUGUGGGCAUUCACCCGGUCGCCCACACGGAGGGGCCGAUGUGUGAGCGUUUAUCAGUUCGCCCACACGCCAGUUUUCACUCACGCAUAAGGGCUGGUGUGUGAGCAUUUGCCAUCUCGCCCACACGCCCGUCUCCUCUCCCACACCCAAGCUUCCAGUUGCCAUGUGUUUUGCAGUGUACAUGGCAACUGCCCUAAUAUGCUUGUAAGCAGAUGGUAACUCUCUCUUUUUUUACCUGAGCAUGUCAGUUGCCAUGUGUUUUGCAGGGUACACGGCAACUGCCCUAGUUUGCUUGUAAGCAGAUGGCAACUCUCUCUUUUAUCCGAACAUGUUGUUUUGACAUGUCUCUUUGUAGCGCUACACAGCAACUGCCUAGUGUUAGUAGGUGGCAACUCCUGAGGUUUUUAAAUCAUGGCAACUGUAGUAAACCAGACCAUACAUGAAAACUGCUUAGUGUUAGUAGAUGGCAACCUCUAAAGUUUUCAAAUCAUGGCAACUAUAGUAAACCAGACCAUACAUGGCAACAGCAGUAGUUGUCCAAAAUGGCAUUUGGCACUUGACCUGAGAUGGCAACUGCAGUUGAGAAACCAUGGCAACUAUAGUUGUCCGACAUGGCAACUGUAGUUCAGCGACAUGGCAACUGCAGUUAAAUGGACAUUGAAGAGGUCCGGACCAUGGCAACUGCGGGGAUGCGUGGUGACUGUCACGCGGGCGUGCGGGGCCGUGAGGUAUGUGGCUGAGAGAGGUCGUGUGGGCGUUAUGCAUUUUUCCACACGUAGGCGUGUGAGAGGGACCGCAAGGAAAAAAAGAGGCGUGUGGCCGCUAGUUGUUUUGCCCACAUGUAGGCGUGUGGGCUGGUCCUCUUAGACACCAUACAAAACGUGUGGGCAGACCCUUUAACGCCCACACGUGUGGUAGUUAUUGGUGUCCUUUGUUUUUAAUAAAAAACUAUAAGCAAGUAGCAGGUGCAUUGCGCCAAAAUAGUUUAGGUGUAUACACGAUAAACAAUUGUUCGACAUAUUUUCUUUUACCAUCAGAAUGAUGAAGAGAAAUGCAUUCUUGUGUUUUUACACAAACACAUUUAGGUAAUAAAUCCUGACGAAAAUAUUUACUUUGAUGCAGUUGCCAUAUCAUGUGACCAAAUGAGAAGUC
rnacentral:lncRNA from 1 species